UGAAAACUUGUUUUUCUCAUGUCCAUACAUCUUGAGGUUGAGAUGAUCGAAUUGAGGGCUUUUCGAUAUUGAAACAACUUUUUUUAAUGAAAUUUUGAACUGUGCAUAAAUUUGAUUGUUUAGAACCCCGCACUUAUAUAAACCUUUUCCAUAUUAGAAAGGGUGCAAUUUGUAUAGGGCCGAGGCUCUAAACAAUCAAAGUAAAGCUCACCGUCAAAUAUUGUCGAGAAAUAUGAUUUCAAUACCUGAAAUCUUUGUGAUGACCUUGAAAUAAAUUUUCAUCCUUAAUUAUAAAAUUAAAAGCUUCAAAAACUAGUAUAGAUCGAGCAAAUCUAUUAACACGUGAAAAUAUUGAAAAUUGAUGAUAAUACAUUAUAGGAUGCACUAUUUUUAAUACUUAAAAACUUGUUUUUCUCAUGUUCAUAUAUCUUGAGGUUGAGAUGAUUGAAUUGAGGGUUUUUCAGCAUCAAUACAACUUUUUUUAAUGAAUUUUUUAGGUACCCAUUAAUUUGAUUGUUUAGAGCCUUGCAUGUAUGUAACCUUUUUCCAUAUUAGAAAAGGGAAAAAUUAGCCAAGUGGAUAUGUUAAGAAAAAUAAAGGCCUGUAUGAAUAUUGUUCAAAAUGCGCAUUCAUGCCACACGCAUUUUGAUGGCCAUUUAGCUUGCGCCAGAAUAUGUUUCAGUGGCUUUCUUGUACACCCUUCAGAACCCCACUGAUUCAAAAAACACUGCCAAUUUGCGUAAUUAAAAAUUAGAAAAAAUUAGUUAUAAUUAGCAAAAAGUUUAUAUAGGGUGUCAAUUUGAGACCAUAGGAGUGAGGCGUACAUCAAAAAUCCAUGGGAAGACGUUAUUCUGACUUGAAAAAACUCAAAAUUUAUGGAUAUUUAAAAUUAAUAAUUUUAAAUCUUAAAAAUAAUGUAUCUUAUAAAAUAUUAUUUGAACCAUACGUUUUUAAGAUUUUCAACUGAUUAUAGAUUUACAUGCUCCAGACAAUUUUUAGAGCAUUAAGUUUUAUGAUGGGGGAUAAAACCAUAUUUUGAUGCUUUUUUAGAUUUUUGGAACCAGAACUACAUCUUUUAACCGGACUUAGAGGUUUGACUUUGAUUCUUUUAGGGCGUGAUUGAUAAUAGGAAACCAGACUUAGAGGUUCGACUUUGAUUCUUUUAAGGCGUGAUUGAUAAUAGGAAGUGGCUUUUGGAAGUUCAGAACUUCUCAACUUUCAUGUUUGAUAAAAAUGAGAACUCCAAAUAAAAACUUUAGUUUGCUGUUGAUCUUCCAACACCACCAUUUUGUAAAAAAAGUUCCGACCCAAAAGUCGGAACUCAAAAUUGCCAAGUUCGUAACUUCCUCUCGUUCUGUAACCCUAGCCUCUUUUCUCUUCAUCGCUGGUGAGCACCCACCCCGAUAAGCACCUCUCUCUUCGCAGCUUCCCAUCUUCGCCGCUGAGAAAUCCAGACAUACAAAGUAACCCCCAUUAAAUGCCCACGCUCCUCUCUCUCUAAAAUUUCUCUUUCUCUCUCAUGGUUUCCAUUUGCUCACACCGCUUGUGCCAGAAGAAGCUUGCUCCAGUGACUAGGGUUUUUUUUUAUGUUUCCUCCAUUAAGAUCACGGUAAGAACUCUCUCUCUUUCUCUGUUUUUUACUUGCUCUGUUUUUGUUUUUUGUUUUAUCCCUCUGCCUUGCUUUUUGCCCUAGAAAUUUUGGUUUCUCAAUUGUUUUUUUUUUGAUGGAUUUCUGCACUUUCCGUGCACGUUCUGCAGUAUAGAGUGCUGACCUGGAAUUUUGUCUUUGGCAUUUUAGGGCUCUUGAGGUUUUAUGCCCUUUGGCGGCAAAGUGAUUGCUUUCCUGCUUUGUUGAUUUGUUAUUUUUAUGUAAGUUAAUCACCUUGCUUCUCAUGUUGCUUUGAAAUUUUUGGUUAUAGUUCAUUGCAUGUUUUUGAAGUAAUUUGAUUGUUUCACUGUAUAAUUUUCCUUGCUAGGCCUCAUUUUCUUCCAAUACUUGGAUUUUUUGUUUACACUUUUUACCUUUUUUUUUUUUUUUUCUUUUUUUUUUUUUUGUUGACCAAUUCCUUUGUUCGCUUCAAAUUGGGCUAAAAAAAUGUUCGCUUCAAAUUGGGCUAAAAAAUGGGUGAGAAAAUACGUUCAUGGAAGGAGAACCUAGCUCCUUUCAAUUUUUAUUCUUAAUUUUGGAUGAAACUGCUGAAUUAAUAAAGAAAAGGGUUUUUUAUGUUUGGAUUCCUUCUGUGUAUCUUUAUACUAAAUCAUUUCAGGGUUUAUUUGCUGAAAUUUAAGUCCAAUUAUCAUUUAAACAGAUGGUUUGUGCACAUGAAAGUCAGAAAUGUAAUUUCUUCAACUAUGAUAUGGCUCGAUUGAUUCUGGGGAAUUUGUUCCAAAACAUGGCUACUAUAUGACGGUUUUGGCCUGCCUAUAACUAAAACAAAGCAAAACAAUUGAUAUCCAUCUUAAAGCUUAUUUAGACUAAUCACAUUCAUAUCUAUCUAGUUCCAUGACAUUGGAAUUGAAUUUUUUUCAGUGGAAUCUAGUAUGUGAAAAGCUCAUUUUCACAGAACAAAUGCUAUAGUCAUCGCAUGCAUCUCGGUGGCCAAAAAUUGAUGCCCUGAAGACUUUUUCUUGAUCACCUAACUUUUUUGUUUUGAUGCAUAUAGGUCACUUAGACCAUCUAAUUUGUGGUAUCUUUUUGGAUUUUAGAUUUUCUGAGGUUCUUUACCUACAUUUCAUAGUUCAUAGGGUUUGAUAGUAAAAUUAUGGUAUUAAUGUUCCGUUACAUUCUUGCAUCUGGUUUUUUUUUAUUUUUUCAUUAAUUUCUUUUAAUGUUAAGCCUAUUUAUUGUUAUAUGCAUCUUACAAUGUAAGUCAUUAUGUAUAUGUAACAGUAUGAUCUUUGAUUUGGAGCCCAUGUAUAUGUAACAGUAUGAUUUUUUAUUUGAAAUUUGGAACCCAUUUAUAUGUAACAGUAUGAUCUUUGCUUCCUUCUCCAUUUUCUUGAGAUGGUGUGUACCUUCUUUGUGUUGGAAGAAUGGUACUUGUGGUUGAAUUCUGUAUUGGGGUGUUGGUUUUUAUAUUGUUCUUGUGUAUGCUGAUUUUUGUGCAAUUGCGCGCCUGAUGAACUGGUCAAUUGCACUACUUUCACUUUGCACAUGCACUUACCAUUUUGCAUAUCUAAUAAUUAUAUUAUCACUAUUUUGUGUACAAUUUCAGGCCAAACUUACAGAAGUGGCACAAGAACGGGGCAGAGGAAUUCAUAUAUUCACAAACUUGGCUUCUAUACCAUUUGAUGGGACCCUGGCUUAGAUACCAUUUAUUUUGGUAUGGACUAUAGGCCGGUUUGGAAAAUAAAUUGCAUUUUUAUCAUUUGGUGUUAGUGGUGGGCAUAUAACAAAUGUAACUCUCGCCAAUGGGAUAAAAACCAGUCUUUUCUCUAAUCCAAUACAAAUAUCCAGUUCUUCUUUAACUUUCCAGGAGGUUAUUAAACACAGAAACCACGAACUUCUUAAUUUCUCAAGAGGUUAUCAAACACAGAAACCAAAAACUUAUUAACUUCCCAGGAGGUUAUCAAACACGGACACCAGUAACUUCUUAAGUUCACAGUUCUUCGGGAACUUCUAAUUUAUAGUUCAUGAACUUGUUUCUAGUUAUCAAAUAGGCCCUUAGAGUGAGUACAUUGUGAAAACCUUUCCAUUAUAACUAUGGAAGCAAAAGCAAACUUUCAUACACUAACCCGUAGAAGAAACAAGCUGUAAAACUAGAAGCCUGAAGUGUUAAAAAUGUGGUUGUUAAGCAACAAUUGUGAACAUUUAUUAGGAAAUGAGGAUGCACCCUUACUUAUUAAUAGAAGUAAUGUUGCAUUACACCGACUAUUUUAUUUGAACCCUAUAGAUUGACAUUGUCUCAAAAGACGUACCUCAUUUUUGACACUAUCUCGAAAGUAUUAGUACUUUUAGGUAUUUCAAAAUAAUAUAUGUUUUAAGUAUAGCUUUCCCAAGUUCUUAAAUAAUUGAGGGAGAAAGUAGUGAGUCCCACUUGACGUGUAUGCUUGUAUCAACGCAAAGACUUCCUUGCAAGAGUGCGAAUCAGGCUUGUAGAAAUGAAAACCACAACAUAGUGACUAUAGUGUGGGGUACUACCAUCACGACUCAAACCCCUUUCCCAGAUAGGGGAGUUAAAUGGAAAAAUAUUGACAUUUCCAUUUUGAAAUAAAUGAGGAAGGGCGCCUUGGUGGUUACAAAAUAGAAAUGUUACUCUAUUUCGAGCUCCUUCCAAACCUUGGACCGUUUACUUCAAAAAUUUGGGUACUUUUUGAAAUUUGACAUGAACUUAUAGGACUUGCACUGUUAAAUUAACCUUCCACUAGAAUUAGGACUAAUUACCAUGGCUUCCCCAAACAAGAAAAUUUUCCAAAGGGGGCAGAUUUUCUAACUCAUUCUCUUUAUAGUCCAUCGUGAUGAGACUAUUUAUCUUUGGUACAAAGUGGUUAUAAUUAAUAUUGAUUAUUAGAUGUGGAAUUAGAUGGCUGCAUUUAUUCCAUUAACCAAGUUCAAAUUUCAAAAAAAGCACAAAAUUGAACUUUGUGACACACUCAAGAUAUCAUAUUUCGCAGUAGAUAGUUACAAGCAAUUGUGGCCUCCUCAUAUCAAAGAUAAAUGAUCUCAUUGUAAACAAAUAAUUUAAAUACCAUUUACAAUUUAAAAUUGAAAUACAUGAAAGAUGUACCAUGACAGCAUCAAGCUGUAUGUCAUAUUUGUACAAAUUUCACCAUUGGAUCGAUUGGAGUCCCUAAUGACACUGGUAAUUUACUAUUUCAAUAAAAUUGAUUUUGGUAGUAAAUUGAUUAUUGUUUGGCAGCGUUCUUUAUAACCUUAGUGGCAGUCUUAUGUAUGGAAAAAUAGACAAUUUACUUUUAACACAAGAAAGUCGUAAUCACUCUUGUCCUGUAAAUUUCAAAUCGGAUGGUUGUGAGCAUAUCAUUGCCUAGAUUCAAAUUUCAAACAAAAAUAUUUUCUUGAACUUGGCGACACCCCAAAAUAUCUAAUUUGAUAUCUAAUAGCCAAGAAUAGUUAUGACCUACUUAUAAGAAAGAUAAAUGGUCUCAUAGUAUACAAUCUCCAAAAAUCAAAUUUCUUUUAUUUUUUUGUUUUUGAAAUUGUUCUCCUAAACUCAAUUUUGGUUUUUUUAAUUUUUUAAUUUUGAAAUUGUUCUCCUAAACUCAAUUUUAACAUUAAAGAAAGUAAUUUUUUUUUUUAAUAUAGCUGAAAAGCAAGCAAAAAUAAUCAAACAAUUUUAUAUAUAGGAAAAUAAAGCUAGGUAAGUACCAAAGUCUUUCACAUCAGGAAUGCAGUGUCUUACACCUAGUUUUCUCACACAAAACCUAGUAUUCAAAUAAAAUCUUGGAAAUUGUCCACGACAUCAUGCACCAUUAUUGAAUCUUAUGAUUCACGUCCCCAAACUUAAAUAAAAUAAUAGCAAACAAUAUUUUGCAACCCCAAUAUCAAGAGGUAUGCUGUCAAUUUCUCUGUUGCAUUACACAGAUCAAGAUCCCCAUCCUCCAUUAAGUAAGCACAAAUUAUAAUAAUCAACCAUAAAAUAAACUGGACUCCAGAGCCUAACGAUCAAUGAAAGAGUUUGUCACACAAGUAAACCAUGUUCUUCUUCCUUUUUUUUUUUUAUAAUUUUCACAAUUAAACAAUCUUCAUCAUCGCCGUUUACGUUAAUUUCAUUCAAAAGAGAGAUCCUAGGAAUUUGAAAUUAGGGCUUGUGAAGAGCCCUACCAGCUAAUAAGGCUGCCUCAAUAACCACAUAAAUUACAUCAAUCACCUCCUGAACGUCACACUUAUUUCCCUCAAACGAAGGACGCCCUGAUGCUCUGAACUCAGAAAUGCAGUCAAGAAACUCUUGGUUACACUCUUGGCUCAGGUAGUCUUCUGUCAAGAUACAUAAACAAUUCGUCUCUUUAAUACAAAAGAUUAUUUUAUAGGGAAUUUAUUAAAGGGUGAGGUCUAUAUAAGGCGUCCUGUUUAUACUGUAGAAGAAGUAAUGUGCACCUCUAAAUUUUUGCUCGGUUAUGUAGUUUUGAUAUUAGAAACCUUUAUAAUGGCUUCAAAAUCUGUUUUUAUCUCUAGUUAUGAAAUUUAAAAUUCUAAAAUUCGUACAGAACAAACAAAUCUAUAGACACUUGAAAAUCUUGAUGGACGGUCUAGAUAACUCAAAAUGUACUAUUUGCUGGACUUGAAAUUUUUUAUUUUUUAUCAUAUCCAUACAUCUCAUGGUUGAGAUGAUCAAUUGGAGGUAUUCUAAUGUUGAAACUUCUAAAGGAUUUUGGAAGUGCACUCUAGUUCAAUAAUAUAAGGGAUCCUAUACAAUGAGAGCAUUUACCUUUGGUACAAGAGAUCACAAUUACUUAUGACCAUCUGAUGCAAAAUAUAAUAGCUUGGGAUUAUUACAAAGUUUGAGAAAUUUUCUUUUGAACUUUGAGCUUGAUCAAUGGAAUAAAUACAACAACCUAAUUUCACAUCCAACGGUUAAUAUUAUUUGUGACUACCUUGUACUAAAGAUAAAUUGUCUUAUUUUAUACUUUUCCAUAAUAUAAGGUUGAUGCUUUAGAUAAACUUUUUCCUUUAUCAAAAUACACAUCACUAUUAACUAUUUAAUAUUGAGAAGGGUAUAUAAUAAAACCAUUUACCAUUAGUACAAGGUGGUCACAUUAAUCUUGACCGUUGGAUGUAAAAUUGGUUGGCUACAAUUAUUCCAUUGACUAAGCUCAAAGUUCAAAAUAAAUUUUUUAGAAUUUUGUGAUACAUUCAAGCUAUCAAAUUUCACAUCGAAUUGUUGUAAACAAUUGUGACUACCUUGUAUCAAAAGUAAAUGGUCUUAUUUUAUACAAUCACUAUUUACCUUUGGUACAAGUGGUUACAUUAAUUUUGACAAUUAGAUGUAAAAUUGGCGGUCCCCAAUUAUUCGAUUGAUCAAGCUCAAACUUCAAAAAGAAAAUUUUUGGAAGUUUGUGAGACAUCAAAGCUAUCAAAUUUCACAAUAGAUGGUUAUAAGCAAUGGUGACCACUUUGUAUCAAAAGUAAAUAGUUCCAUUAUAUACAAUUCCUUUAAUAUUUUACCAUUUUGGACUAUUUCAACUUAUAAUUAUGUGGAUUUUGAUGGCUUUUUGAAAUUAAAUAAUUAUGUAGAUUUUGAUGGCUUUUUGAAAUUAAAUAGAAAACCGGUAAAGUAUGAAGUGGUUAAUCUUUUUCGUACAAUUUGAUAAAUUUCCUUUGUGCUCCUACGCCAUUAAUCUUUCAUUUAAGGGGGUUUAAUUUUGCUCGUGAAUUGGUGUCUUAAGAAUCAUUUAACUUGCAAUAAUUGCAAUUUUGAUUGUGAUUACUAAAACCAAAGGGAAACAAACUUUUAAAUCACCUAUUUUAUAUGUAAGGAAUACUGUGAUCCAUGUGAUCAUGAGGUCAUCACCUGUCCAUCAUUUGAUUGGACGGUGAUAGAGGGAGAGUUUUGACAACAAAGCAACUCUAUCUCCCACUCUCCCUCAACGCCAUCCAACCCAUCAAUUAGCCAGUGAUGACCCUCAUGACCGUUGACAAUAUAAGUGCAAAAUUUUCAUAUAAAUUAUAAAAUAAUUACAGUGACUACGUACGGACCUUAAAGUUUUAGAAAAAAAUACAAAAUGUUUAAUUUAUAAAAAAAAAUUACAAAAAAAAAGCCGAUCAACUCAUUUUUUUUUUUUUUUUUUAAAUUGACCCUCAGUCAACUCAAAUUUCGAUGCUUGCAUUUUUUUUUUUUUUGUUAUUGUCUUAAAAGCUCCGGGCACAGACCUACUUGUAAAAAAAAUUCUAGGGUCCGCAUGUAAAUCACUCAACAACUUGAUGAAUGACCUACCGUUUUUGGCUUGCACGCAAUUAUCAUGAGUUUGGCAGCAAGCAUCAAGGCCAUCGCACGGACCCUCGCCUGGGCAUCCGCUGUAACCGAGCCCACAAUAUUUUCCAUACCUCAGCAGUGGAGGAACUGCAUUUUAAUGGAAACCAUUUAAACUCAGUAAGAGAGAGUGUACUGAAAGGGUCAUGCCAAGAAGUAUCCUCACAGAUACCUGACAAUGGCCUGUCCGCCAAAGAAAAGUUCAUAUCUAUCAUUUAAACUAGAUUUUAUACUCCCGGCUAACUUAAAUAACGUGUGGAAUGAAUGAACCAGCGUUUGGCCAUGGAAAAACACCACAACACAUAUGAGAUAUAUGAUCUUUUCCGUGCAAAGUUUCUCAGUGGUAUGCAUCUAGAAGUGUUUCAAGAAAAAUGAGAUAAGAUGCAGAGAAGUAAAAAGAACAGAAGGGUGAAAAAAAAUGGUAGAAAUGAACGAAAUGUACAGUUGUUUGUACAAAAAGUCAGUUUUGCAGAGGUUUUACACAAGAUAUGGUAAAUAAAAAGAAAAGUGUGCGGUUUGUAUGGAGCCUAAGCUCUAAACAAUCAAAUUAGAGCCUAUCUUCAAAUAGUAUCGAGAAAUGUGAUUUCGAUACUCGAAAUCUUGUGAUAGUCUUAAAAUGUACUUUCACUAUUAUUUAUAAAGUUUAAAGCUUUAAAAAUGGUGAAGAUCAGCAUAUAUAUAUAUAUAUAUAUGAAAACUUGAAAAUCUUCAAAAUUGAUAGUACAAAAAUAUGUUACAAAAUACACUAUUUUUAAAUUUAAAAUUUAUUUUUUUCUCAUGUCCAUGCAUAUUUAGGCAUCAAAACAACCUCAUCCAGUGAAAUUUUUUAAGUAGGCUCGAAUUUGGUUGUUUAGAGCGUCGGCUCUACAUAAACUUUUCCCAAAAGAAAAUGGCAACACUAAUUCAUCAUCUAAACUCAAAAGUCGAGAGAAAUCAUUUCACUGAAAUGCUAUUCAACUGUUACCUGAACAGUAAUCAGAUUCGCACACGCUGCUACAUUCCCUCCUUGACUGAACCAAGACCAUGAGAGAGAAACCCAACAAGUGUAAUUAUAACAGAGAAAAAAGAUCGGAAGCAAAAAGAAAAAGAUGUUAUUUAUCUUUUUUUAAAAGUUUUUGUUUUGUACUUACCAAAGUUGCAGACAGACCAGAGGUUUGAAGGUCUACUUGUAAUGCCAUAACAUUGGGGGCAAAUGUAAAGGCAAAUGGAGCAAUGAAAAGAAACAGAGAGGCUAAAUUUGAAGCCUGAUCAAGACCCAUUUUAAUGGUCGGUGAAAAAGCUCAAAACUCUCUCUCUCUGUGUUUAAAGUUUGGGCUUCUCUCUCUGCAACUUUCUCUCUCUUUGCUGAAGUUCAGAAGCCUGGGUUUCACGGAUUUAAAAAUGGGCUUCUCUGGGAAUUGACGGCUUGGAUUGGAUUAGAAGAGCCUUCGAUUUUGGGUAAAAGGGGCAUCAAUUUGAGGGGUGAAGGUCUUUGUCGUGUAAUAGCUCGUGAUAUCCACUUUGUCUUUUUGGUGUUGAGGAUCUGAAAUAGAUAUUAUUGAGCUUUGCAGGAGAGUCUACCAUACAUGAGCGGUGUGUAGUGCAUUUCCUAGCAUGAGUGAUGUAUUAUGUAUGGUACACAAUGGGACAUAGACUGCUUGUUUUUGGUGAUGAAUGGUGGAGAUUAGAUGUAGUUCUCCGUCGUCAUCGUUCAUCCAUGUGUUAAAUCUCACCGUUUAUCAUUUCGAAAAACAAUCUACGGGCUAAGAUUUUCCCACUUUCUUAUUUGUUUCUUGGAGUUGAAAUAUCACGAUGUUAGCACUGCGGUACAUGUGUAGUCACACCAUACAAAAGUGACGCGAAAUAUGGGAAAGAAUUGCCCAAUGUUUUUUGGGAUACGGUAGGUUGCGAAACAUUUCACCUCCAACACAAGUGCCCUUAGAUAUUUUUAUUUAUUAUUAUUAUUAUUUUGGACUUUUCCCCAUAGUUUCAUCAUUGUUUUGCAAAAGCCAAAAGAUUACUCCCUUCAAGUAAAACCUCAUUUAGAAUAGGGGGUUGGCAACAAAGGAUAGACCCAAUCUAGGUCUAGAUAUGGGUUUAAAAAUUGGACCCGGCAGGUUGGGUCCGGGUCUAAAUUUUGGAUCCGAACACUAUUCCAGUCUGGGAGUUCGGGUCCGAUAAUAUCUUUCAAGUCUCAAUAUAUGAAAUAUAUUUAAAUAUAGUUAAAUACAUAGAUAUCUUUAGAUUUUGGGUCGAAUCCGACCCAGUCUGGAACUAGAUCCGAUGAACUUGGGACCGGUCAGGUCUUGGUCUCAUAUCAUUUUUUCUGGGUCCGGAUCAGGUCCUGGACACGACCUGAACCGACCUGUGGCCACCCAUAACCUAGAAUUAAUUUUAAGAACCCAAGUUUUGAGCUCUUCAACGUACAAUCUAUUCUUAAAAAAAAAAUCUUAAUUGUACCCUCUAUGCAUUUUAAAAAAACAUAGUCAUUAGGGACCAUCCGAAUUUUAGAUUGUGAGAUCCAAGCGUUAGGAGAACCAAAUUUCAAGAAAACUUUUUUUGAGAAUAAUCAUCUAGUAAUCUUUAAAUAAUUCAAAAAAUUUCAGAUUGAAAGACAAUCCUCUCAAGUAGGUCUUUGAGCGAGGGAGCAGAAAAACAAACUAUGCUACUAUGCUCCCAAGGGAGCAUAAUAUACGUGCCAUUCACGAAAACACAAAAGAGGACAAAAAUGAAGUUUCAUUAGGAAGCGACCGUAGCUAUAAAUUUUUAAUGGUCAUUCACCAAAUAAUAUGUAUAGAAUUAAGUUAUGGUAAACAUUAGGGGUAAGGUGAUGGAGGCACGACCAGCAUGGCGACUAAAAUACAAGAUAUUAUGGUCUGAUUGAGGCUCUUGACCUUUUCUUUGAAAAUUAAGGCUCUUGACUUGACUCCUAAUUGCAAAAUACAUUGCAAUGAAUUGGCCAGUACAAAGAAGGAAUAGUCCCUACUCCCGGGUUCAACAUAGCACAUGGAAAGAAGCAUGUAACUCAAAAAGGAGCCUUAAUUUCUUGGCAAGUUCUCAGUAUCUGGGCAAAUGAUUAUAUGGGUUUUAAAUAGGGUGUCUUGGGUGUAUUUGAUUUGUGGGUUAAUUAUUUUUGCCAUCUUUGCCCUUGUCUUUGAGGAGGGGGAUGGGGUUCUAUGUCUUUAAAAAUGAAAAACACAACAUAGAGAGCUGAGCUUUAGAGGAACAAUGGAUCAAAUGGAGUGAUUCUCAAGGAGGAUAUUCAGAUUUUAUUAAAUAGUUUUUAGAGUGAUUUACAUAGAAACUUUAAAAUUUUAGGUAAAAUACGAAAUGCUCUAUUUAUAUGCGGAAAUUACACAGAAGAUCGGUCAACCUGCUUUUUUUAAAAUAAUUCCAAAAUUGCCCCUUGAACAACUUGAAUUUUGAUUUUUUUUUUAUUUUAUUUCAUUUUUUUAGUAGGGAAGUGCCUUAAAGAUUGGGGCAUUGCUCUACUAACAAAAAAAAAAAACUAAAAAAAGAAAUAAAAAAUCAAUUGAUCGAGAGGUAAUUUUGAAAAAAUAAAAAAAAGGUGGGUUGACCGACUUUCUUUGUAAUUUCUGCCUAUAAGCGGAGUAUUUUAUAUUUUCCUAAAAUAUUAGGGUCUGAAUGUAAAUCACUUUAAUUUUUAGGUAGAUCAACCGAAAAUAGGUAUCUUACUCAUUUUUAUGGAAUUUAAGACAUCAUAUUGUGUUACCCAUCCCCUUGACCACUUAUAUGCCUUGAGCUCAAUCCCGAAUUCUAUUAACCUACAUUUCAUGAAAUACAAUACGGGCAAAAUGGGAUGCUCUGACCCAUAGAUUUUAUGUAGGCUCAAUUUAAUUAUUCAUUUUAUUGACAUAGAUGAGAUUGAAAGCACCAAAAGAAAAGCAAACUAAGUCGACUCAAUUUAAUUACAGAGUAAAUAAGAAAAUAAAGGCAACAUACAUAUCUCAAAAAAAUUAUUGUUGACUACUACUAAUAAAAAAAAUGUAAAUUAUAAUGAAAUGAGUAAUUAUCACAAAUAUCCUUUAUUUUUUAAAAAUUUCAAAAAUCAAAUUUCAAAACUACUUCCAUACCCAUUUUCCCACACUUUAUUGUUUUUAAAAAAAAACACCCUUCAUGUAUCACAAUUCCAAUAGAAUCGUGAUAAUCUAUACUUCACCCGAUGCCCUCUUGAUCUCUCUUACUUCUAGUAACCACUGCAGCGGUGCUUUGAGCAUCAUGAUAGUGUCAAUGCCGGGAUGAUACAUCACAACAGUAAAGGUGCCAUAAUGCGUCUUUAUGCACCAUGGUGCUUCCUAGAUUUUCAGGAAGCUCCGUGGUGGUGCUGUGAGCAUCAUGGAACUAGGAAUACCGUAAUACUUCAUAGUGGUACUCAUAUCUCUUUGUGUAAGUAUGUGUCUAAAACCGUCAUGCCAUGAUGCAUUAUUACGGUACUAAUAGUGCCUUGGUGCUCAAAUAGCCACCGUGGUGCAUUGAGGACCAUCACAGCACUAGAUGAUUCAUCAUGUCACUAGCUCACAGAUCGAGCGCUUUUGCGCUGAAGAUGAACAGGGCCAAGCAAUUUACUGAAGUUGGGAGAUGUAAAAAUGCAUCGGUAGUGGAGCGUUCCGCCUUAGAGUGAAACACCCGCGCAAGCAGAUGUGGACGAUCGCAGUGCCAUGAUGCUAAAAGCACCAUCGCAGUGCUUCUAGGAAGUGAGAGAGAGCAAGAGGGCACAUUGUGUAUAAUGAUUCUAUUAGAACUAUGAUACAUGAAUGGCAUUUUGAAAAAUAUAAAUAAUGUGUGGGAAAAUGGAUAUGGAUGUAGUUUUAGAAAAAUUUAGGUAUUUUUUUUAAUUUCUAAAAGAUAAAGCAUAUUCGUGACAAUUACCCCAAUAAAAUAUGCAGGCUACUAGCUCAUUAACAACCAAAUUAGUAAUAAAUGAGGUGUUAACGUAAGGAUAUGAAUAUGUAUCAUACUGAUACAUAUUAGUAUGGAUAUGCAGUAUAAUAUACAUAUCUCUUGAUAAGAUUAGGUAGUGUCUAUCCAUAACCGUUGGUAUUUAUCUUUAACUGUUACUGGAACAUAUGGAUAUCGAUAUGUAUCAUAUUGAUACAUAUCAGUAUGGAUAUACAUCUGUAUGGAUACAUAUCUCUUGAUAAGAUUAGGUGGUGUUUAUCCAUAACCGUUGGUAUUUACCUUUAACUGUUACUGGCUGUAUAUUUAUAUGGAGUCUUGUAUAUUCUUGAUUAAUCAAUUUAAUAGAGUUCCCUACAGUAUUCUUAAAAUUCUAACAUGGUAUCAGAGCAAUAGGCUCCUCAACUUCAGAUCUGAGAUGCGAACUCAGAUCUGGGGUUACCGUGAGGUGUGAGCUCAGAUCAUAGUUUUGUUAUGGUCCUUCAAAAAAACCUUUACUGCAUAGUCCUUCACCCAUCAAUUUGCUCCACUUGCCUAUACUCCUUUGCUUCCCUUUUGCUUCACAGUUUGCAUUAAGAAAUCAUCUUCUAGAGAGAGAAAGUGCAAUUUGUCAUUUUCUUCCCAAUUUGCUGAUACCAACUGUAUUGAACACAUCAACUCCCUGUGGCGCAUAACCUUUUUUAUCGGUGGAAAAUCUUUUGGCAGAGCAGCUGAAGUAGUGCUGCAUCGAGGAGUUCAAGCUUGGGUCACUUGUGCUCGAGCAGUUCACAGUCAUCGACAAAAUCUGCGACCUCAUCACACAGGUGCGGCUAAGGGAAUUGUAUCAAUGAGAGACAUUUCUCUCUCUAAAUUUAUGUCUGGUGGGGUUGGGGCUUUGGUUCUUAUCAUUGUUUUUGGGCUAUUGAAUUCUCUCUUUGAACGGAAGCUAGUGGCCAAAUUGCCUUUUUCACCUUCUAGUUUUGUGUAAAAGAUGAGGCCUUAUUUACAACAUGUUCAAGCUAUGGCCGACGAAUCAGAGGCUCCAAGGUGCGAGCCGAGGUGGGAAUGGAUGGCGAUCGCUGCCCUUUAAGUACCCUGCAAUUUUUGAAACCGUCUUUCUUACGUUUAGCCAUCCUCUCUCUCCCUACUUCGUACUUUGUUGGGCACUUUUGUUGAGAAAAAAUGCACAUCUAAGUUUCUUAUUAUUCCAAAAAGUCUGCCUUCAUUUGAUAGAUGGAAACCUCUUAAUUUGGGUAAAUUCCUUCUUUUGUUAGGCAUCCUCUCUUUUAUUCUACACGUGCAAAAAGUGCACCUUGAGCAAGUAGACCGCUAGGUUCUUUACUAUUUUAUAAAAGGUAAGCCAUUGUUGUUGUACUUCCUCUGAUCUGUCUCUCUACGAAAUCGUAUUCUGACUCUUUGAUUUGUUUUGGAUCUUACUGUUCUCAACUCCCAAUCUAAAGUCUAACUGUUUUUGUUGAUCUGUUGCUGACUUCUGUUGGCUCUUCCAAGUGCCUCAUCUUUGAUUAUCGAAUAUCUUGAUCCUGGUUGAUGAUCAAGUUUUUGUUACUUGACCAUGUUUAAUCAUUGAAUUUUUUGUUACUCAAUCCUAUUGGAUGAUGGGGUUUUUCGUUAUUCCAUCCUGUGUGAUGAUCGCGUUUUUUUUUUGUUACUCGAUCCGAUCUGUUCCAGAGGCCUAUUGAUUUGGUGUUAUGCGAGACUGCUCUGUUUGAGGCGUCGGUUUAUGAGGAUUGCUAAUUUGCAAAAUUCACCUUUGAAAAAUGGCAUAUAAAAAGGGUUGAUCUGCUAUAUCUGAAAAAUUGUCCCUCUCGUUGUUUGAUCUCCGGUUCUUGAUCUCAGGGUGAUCGGUCUGAACUCUCAUCAGCCACUCUGAUCUUUAUUGAUGAUCGAGUUUUCUGUUACCAGAUCUUGUUUGAUGAUCGUAUUUUCUGUUGCUCGAUCAUGUUUGAUAAUCGUGUUUUUCGUUAUUCAAUCAUAUCUAUUGAGCGAGUUUUUCAUUACUCGAUCUCAGAUGUUUCAAUGGCCAGUUUGUCUGCUAUUUAUAGAGUUUUUCGUUACUCGAUCCCAGAUGUUCCUGAGGCCGUCUGUUUUUUAGGUAUGUCAUUUUUUUAUGCUUAUUGUUCAAGUAAUCUGUGUUUGUUGUUCAAGCAAUCUGAGCACGGAGACCACUACUUCUAUCGGUCACGCCAUGAACCUGAAGACCUGAAGAUCCAACUAGUUCGUUUAUGCAACUUAUUGUUCAAACUCCAAAUGCUUUGUGUCAAAACAUCUUGAGUUUGAGGGAGGGUGUUAACGUAUGGAUANNNNNNNNNNNNNNNNNNNNNNNNNNNNNNNNNNNNNNNNNNNNNNNNNNNNNNNNNNNNNNNNNNNNNNNNNNNNNNNNNNNNNNNNNNNNNNNNNNNNNNNNNNNNNNNNNNNNNNNNNNNNNNNNNNNNNNNNNNNNNNNNNNNNNNNNNNNNNNNNNNNNNNNNNNNNNNNNNNNNNNNNNNNNNNNNNNNNNNNNNNNNNNNNNNNNNNNNNNNNNNNNNNNNNNNNNNNNNNNNNNNNNNNNNNNNNNNNNNNNNNNNNNNNNNNNNNNNNNNNNNNNNNNNNNNNNNNNNNNNNNNNNNNNNNNNNNCGAAGGUUUUGGGGGUAGGGGGAGGAGAGAGAGAGAGAGAGAGAGAGAGAAGAUAGGAGAGAGAGGAAAUAAGGAGAUAAGAGAGACAUGAAUAGAGUGAGAUUCCAGAGUAAAGUGUGGGGAGAAAAGAGAACAGAGAGUAGAGACAAAAAGAGGGAUCAGAGUGGCAAAGAGAGAGACAGAAGGGAGGGGAGAGAUAGAGUAGAGUGAAAUUUCAAAGAGAGAGAGAGGCCAGAGUGUAGAGAGAGGACAAAGAGUAGAGAGACAAAAGAAUCAUAGUAUAGUUGUCAAGAGAGAUAGCGAGUAAGAAAGAGAGAGCAAUGAAUACAGAGGGAGAGAGGGAGGAAAGCGAGACAAAGCAGGGUUUAGGACAACAUAUGGGAGAGAAGCUAAAAGGAUUUUAGGGAGGAGAGAGAGGACAAAAGAUAAUCGGGUUUUAAGGGGUGAGGGGAGAGGAAGAGAAACAGGGAGAGGGAGAGAUAGAGUAGAGUGAGAUUUCAAAGAGAGAGAGAGAGAGGCCAGAGUGUAGAGAGAUGACAAAGAGUAGAGAGACAAAGAAUCAUAGUAUAGUUGUCAAGCGAGAUAGCGAGUAAAAAGAGAGAGCAAUGAAGACAGAGGGAGAGAGGGAGGAAAGCGAGACAAGGCACACAGGGGAUANNNNNNNNNNNNNNNNNNNNGAGUGAGAUUUCAAAGAGAGAGAGAGAGAGGCCAGAGUGUAGAGAGAUGACAAAGAGUAGAGAGACAAAAGAAUCAUAGUAUAGUUGUCAAGCGAGAUAGCGAGUAAAAAGAGAGAGCAAUGAAGACAGAGGGAGAGAGGGAGGAAAGCGAGACAAAGCACAUAUGGGAGAGAACCUAAAAGGAUUUUAGAGAGGAGAGAGAGGACAAAAGAUAAUCGGGUUUUAAGGGGUGAGGGGAGAGGAAGAGAAACAGGGAGAGGGAGAGGGAGAGAAAGAGAGAUUAUAUGGAGGAGAGAGAAAGUAGAGAGCGAUUGGAGGGAGGAGAGGGAGAGCGAGCAUUUAAUAUUAUUCUUUGAAGAGAGGAGGCAUAUAGAGAGUUUUUCAAAGAAUGAGAGUUAAUAGAGGCUUGGGAGGGGUUUCUAUGGUCAUUAAAGGCUUUAUGAAAGCAUGUAAUCAAUAUAUGAUAUAGUGGAACAAAAAACUCAAAUAGGAGUGUGAUUUGGAGGGAUCAAGAGAUUACGGUCCAAAGGGACCGAGAAAAGUAAAGCUAUUUGCCCAUAUUUAGACUUGACUUGAUGAGCUAAGUAAGUCGAGUUGAAAAACCCUUAAAUUACCUGAGCAUAUAAUACAACCAUGGAUGAGAUCGGAGUUGCCCAUGUGUGUGAGCUAAUGGACCUUGUGGCCAUUACGUGUGAUAGUUGUUUUUUAGAUAUGAGGGCGAAAAGCUUCAUCAUUGAUCCAUCAUACAUCAAAUGCAUAUGAUAGUUGUAUCGGGAACGCAAGUCACCAUUGAGGGUGAGGCAUACACAUGUGCGAGAAAUUACCCUUAUUCACCAUAGAGCUAUAGUAGCAUCAGGUAUGUGACCUUAUAACUCGUUUUUAAGGGAGAACCUAUAAUCCAUAGACUAUGAUUAUGUUCUCUCACUUAAUGACUGACUUUGGUACCCCAAUCAUGAACCCCUACAGUGGUCUGUGGGUCAUGAGAACUGCUAGGUUAGUUUGAAAAUACAAGUGUGGAUUAUAGUUCACAGUAGAAGAUGGUAUGCUUCAGAAAUAUUAAUUCAUAAACCUAGGAGAAUCCUAUUCAUAUCUAAUUUAUUUGGUUUUAUCUAGUUUGAUGUUAGUUGACAUUUUAGAAUAAUUAUUUAAAUUUUUUUGUGAGUAUCUAGAUAUUUUAUUUUUGUAAAAUGAAUUUAUAAAAUAAAAAUAUUCUUUACCAUGGAUAGUCUUCUUUAAUUUGGAAUCAAUUUUAUUAUUUUAAAAUUCAUAUGAUAUAUGAAGGAACCAUCCGGACCCCAAUGGAAUGUGCGUUGGGCCCAUUAAAAGGGGCCCUUGAUGGCCACACCCCACUUAACGUGGAUAGUCCUCUUUAAUUUGGAAUCUUUUUUUAAUUAGAAUUCUAAAAAGAAUAUGAAUAUGUUUUAUGAAGUCCUAUGGAGAUUGGACUUCUAAAGGAAUAUGAAUAUACUUUAUGGAGUCCUAAAAAGAUUGGAUAUAUAAAAAGAAUAUAAUUAAGUAAAACAUUAUGUGAUAUUUUUCAUAUUUUCUUUUUGAUAGGAUAAAUAUUUAGGAAGUUGAAAGAUAAGGUUUUAGCUCAUUUCUUUGGAUCAUGAUAAUUAAUUCAAAGAAUUUGUGGCUCAGAUCUCUUACCCCGCAGGUCUCAUAAGAUCAAUAGGUCUGGACCAAUGUACAAUAAUGACUGUCCCGAAAAAACCCCUAUCCCCUUGAAAAGUCUAUAAAUAUGGCAUUUCCACCUCUCAUUUUUUACAUAAGAUCUCUCUCAUCUCUCUUCGAUCUCACCUAGGGUGGCACGCCACCACCUAGGGUUUCUUUAUCUCUCUCUCAUCCAAUAUCUCAUCUCUCUAAGAGAGAUAGGGGGCACGCCUCCAUAAGAGAACAAAAGUAGGGGCAUGCCCCACUCAUAUGUUCUAAGGCAUUGAUCCAUAGUUCCAUGCUCUCAUAUUUUGUUAAAGGAUUUAGCUAGAGCUUUCCCUAUUUUGUUAAGAGGUUUAACCAAAGCUCUUUUAGAUUUUGUAGAUCUGAAAUAGACUAUUGAUCCCAUGCAAAUUGGAUGAGGAGACCCGAUGUGGGGUGUACUAAGUCCGAUUGAGGUAAUCUUCCAACAUCUUGCUUUAUGGUUUGAAGUAUUUUAUUUCUUAUGCUUUCUUAUUACCAUAAGCAUUGUGUUCGUUUGAGUUGAAUAAAAAAAAGAUGCAAUUAAUGGCAGCAAGCGAAAACCACUUUUGGUUAUUAAUUUAUAUAUUUUGAGUUAAAUUUAUUAUAGUUGGACCAUUGUAAGUGUUCUAGUCAGUGAGCAAAAAAAAGAGUUAAAAAUUAUACACACCGUGCUAGAUCACCUUAUCCAACUUUCAAUUAUAUAUAUAUAUAUAUGGUAAACCUUACAACAGAUGGCCAGUUAUAAUGAAUAGUGUAUACGUGGAAUCGAAGCCAUCAGAUCUUUAUGCAGUUCAAAAUAAUGCACAUCUCUAUUUUAAUUUGAAGUUUUUUUAUAUAAAUUUGAUUAAUAUGAAAUUUUGGAUGUUUAUACCUAACACUAUUGUGCGCUAUAUAAAAAUAUAAAAAAUUAUUUUCAAUAAAUAAAAUGAUCAAACUACGCUCAUUAUUUUUUAGGGGUAUUUUGGCCAUUUUACAUUUGGGAAAAUAUUUGUUUUAUAUUUUUUAUUUGUGCGCCCUUUAUUUUAGUACCCAUGCCUAAAACGUCAUUAUGAUCCGAUUUAUAGAAAAAUAAUUAAAAUUAAACCAGUGAUAUGUAUUAUGAACCGCAUGAUGAAGAUCUGACGGCUAUCAUUCCACUUAUAUUAAUAUUCAUUAUAGCUGACCAGCUAUUGUUAGCUUUUUCUAUAGAGUUCACAAUUACUUACAACUAUUUGACGUGAAAUUUGAUAGCUUCGGUGUGUCACAAAGUUCGAAAAAAAAAAAUUUGAACUUUGAGGUUAAUCAAUGUAAUAAAUGUAACCACCCAAUUUCACAUCCAAGAGUCAAGAUUAAUUGUAAUCACCUUGUACCGAAGGUAAAUAAUAUCACUAUAUGGAAAAUUUUUUCCAACGCCUAUAGGCGAAAAUGAACAAUGAUUUCGUCUACCUUCAUCACCGUCCAAAGUUCAUUGCACGGUCACGAUUGUCUGGUAGUGUUUCAUUUUCAUGUUUUUUUCUACAAAUCGGAAUGAUCUGAAAUUUAGAGUGUGUAUACAUCUUAGUGAGACGCACCUAAUAAAAAUACGAAACAAAUAAUUUGCAAAACAAUGACCAAAAUACCCCUAAAACUUUUUGGGGGUAUUUUGAUCAAUUUAUUUCAUAUAAAAAUAUUCUUUUUGAUAUUUUUUUUAUAGAUUAGCCUAUUUUUUAUGAACACACGCUCAAAAUUUUAAAUAAUUUUGAUUUGUAAAAUAAAAUAAAAAAUAAAAUACUAUCGGACAAUGGUGAUCGUGUGAUGAACUUUGGAUGGUGACGAGAUAGGCAAAAUCACUAUUCAUUUUCGCCUAUNNNNNNNNNNNNNNNNNNNNNNNNNNNNNNNNNNNNNNNNNNNNNNNNNNNNNNNNNNNNNNNNNNNNNNNNNNNNNNNNNNNNNNNNNNNNNNNNNNNNNNNNNNNNNNNNNNNNNNNNNNNNNNNNNNNNNNNNNNNNNNNNNNNNNNNNNNNNNNNNNNNNNNNNNNNNNNNNNNNNNNNNNNNNNNNNNNNNNNNNNNNNNNNNNNNNNNNNNNNNNNNNNNNNNNNNNNNNNNNNNNNNNNNNNNNNNNNNNNNNNNNNNNNNNNNNNNNNNNNNNNNNNNNNNNNNNNNNNNNNNNNNNNNNNNNNNNNNNNNNNNNNNNNNNNNNNNNNNNNNNNNNNNNNNNNNNNNNNNNNNNNNNNNNNNNNNNNNNNNNNNNNNNNNNNNNNNNNNNNNNNNNNNNNNNNNNNNNNNNNNNNNNNNNNNNNNNNNNNNNNNNNNNNNNNNNNNNNNNNNNNNNNNNNNNNNNNNNNNNNNNNNNNNNNNNNNNNNNNNNNNNNNNNNNNNNNNNNNNNNNNNNNNNNNNNNNNNNNNNNNNNNNNNNNNNNNNNNNNNNNNNNNNNNNNNNNNNNNNNNNNNNNNNNNNNNNNNNNNNNNNNNNNNNNNNNNNNNNNNNNNNNNNNNNNNNNNNNNNNNNNNNNNNNNNNNNNNNNNNNNNNNNNNNNNNNNNNNNNNNNNNNNNNNNNNNNNNNNNNNNNNNNNNNNNNNNNNNNNNNNNNNNNNNNNNNNNNNNNNNNNNNNNNNNNNNNNNNNNNNNNNNNNNNNNNNNNNNNNNNNGGUCAUUGUGAUAGACUUAAAAUAUAUUUUUACCUUUAUUUAUAAAGUUUAAAGCUUCAUAAAUAGUGUAGAUCGAUAGAUCUAUGAAAACUUGAAAAUCUUGAAAAUUGAUGGUAAAAAAAUGUGUUAGAUAUAUAUAUAUCUAUAUAUGUGAGCAAAUAUUACAAUAGCUAGGCAGCUAUGAUGAAUAGCAAUAUAUGUAAAAUGAGAGCCGUUAGAUCUUCUUAAUGUGGUUCAGAAUACAUAUCACUAUAAGAAAUACCCAUAUACGCCGCAGUAACUGUGGUCGCAUUAGGUCAGGUUAGUACGUCUCUAGAGGAAAACUUGAAAUCUACAAACUGACAUUAUGACUCAUUGGCUCAUUGGCUAAACUUUGAUGGCCCGUUAAUGAGCCCUUACAUGGACUACGGGUCAUGAAAAACACUAAGUCGGUUUGAUAAAGUAAGUAUCGACUAUAGUCCACAGUUAAAGGUGGAGUGCCCCAACGUUUAUUUAUUUAAUUCCUUGAUCAUAUGGAUCAUUUUUCCAUCUAAUAAAUUUAAUUAUAUUUUUUUUUAUGAUAAAUGAUUUUUAAAAUUAUUAUUUGAAUUUAUUAGAUCUCUGGAUAUUUUAUUUAUCAAAUUUGGAUCUAUAAAGACAGAGAUAUUGAUUUUAGAUUGAUUUAAAGGUUCAAAGUUGAUUUUAUGGAUUUAUAAAAAUCGUAUAAUUAAUUUUAAUAGUGCAUGGGAGGCCCAACAUGUUAAUGGGCCCACCAUUGCAUAUAGGUGGGGCCUAUGAAGUACCACCUAGGAUUACACACGCCCUAACGAAACUUUCAUUGUGUUAGUUUAAACUUUGGCUUGAAGAGAAAGGUUUGACAGUUUGCCUUAACAAAACUUUCAAAGGAUUUUUGGAAAGCAUGAGAAGGCUUAUGCAUAAUUUUGGUAAGCACUAUUUUAUAAAUGUAAUUAUUUUAUUUAAUUUCUAUUGAUGAGAAAAUGGUUUAAGAAUGGGAGAUAAAGGUUUUAACAUAUUCCAUAAUGUUGAUGACCUAUAUAUAUAAUAGAUGGCUCAAAUCUCUUACCCCAUAAGUCACCUAAGAUUAAUGGUUCAUAUUCAAUCUCAUAAAAAGAGGUAAGCCAAAGAAACGAAACCCUAAUCUUAUUCAAAGCCUAUAAAAAUAGAUUAUCUCUACCCAAAAUCUCUACUCCUUAUCUCUUACACCUAAUUCUCAUCUCUAUCUCAUAUCCCACUAAGGGGCACGCCCCAUUAAGAAUUUCUUUCUCUUUCUCUUAAAAAAAAUUAUCUCUCUCAAGAGCCCCAAAGGCAUACGCCCUACUCUAUCAUCUUUGAUAUCUCUCUCAUGGUGGUUCUCUCAAGUAUCUCAUAAUCGCUCAUCUCUCAUUGGGGUUUUAGACUAUAAGGUUGUGGUAGAAAAGAAAAGUAUUUUUCUCAAACUAGGUUGCUAAGGGGAUUCACCUAAGGGUUUGAGAUUUGUGAUAAAGGAAUUCAUAGUUCCAUUAGAGGGCUUGGUCUAAACUUGCUUUCCCAGUUGAGAUUGAAGGUUGAUCGUUGAUCCCGUGCUAUCAGAUGGUGGUGACUCGGUAUGAGGUGUAAUAAAUCCGAUUGAGGUAAUCUCCGACACUCUCUUUUUGCUUCUUGUCAUAUUUAACUAUAUUGUCUUUAAAUUCUCAAGCAUAAGAAUUGUGGAUAUUUUUUUUGUUUAAAGAAAAUUGGUUUAAUGGCAUCAAGGUUUUUAAGAUCUUGGAUUUGUUAGUUUUAUUUUCUUUGAAGCAUGCGUUAUUGUAAUAAGACUACUUGUAAGUGAUCGUUGCUAAAAGAAAAGAAAAAAAAAAGUGAAAAGAAGAAAAAUAAAAAAUAUAUAUCCCCGACAAAAUCGUAUUACUCUUUGUUUCAAAGAUAUAAAAAAUGCAAUAUUAUAGCACGGUUAAUGGCCUAUGGAGCACGAAAUAAACGACAAAAUUAUAAAGAAGCCCCUAUAAAUUGGGUACCUGAUGUGCCAGACACUCUCAAGGAAGAUAGAGAACUCUUAAAAUUUGAAAGUAUGGUAUUGAUCCGGCAUCAUUUAAUACCGUUAACUUAAAGGUUAUUACCUGUGCUACCUCGAAAUACCAUUUACCAUUGGAUUAAAAUACUGCAAAAUAACACAAAAUGGUAAUUUUGUAGAGGCAAAAUUACACAAGAUUUAAUUUUGUAGAGGCAAAAUAACACAAGAUUUAAUUUUGUAGAGGUAAUUUUGUCUAGGCAAUAAUACUGCAAAAUAACAUAAGGGACGAUAUGAUUUUUGGCUGUCCUUCCUUGCAAUUUAAGAUUUCCAUCAAAGUUUAUAUCUUGGGAAUUCCUACUUGGAAUCAUGGAGAAAAUCUACGGAGAAAUUGGGGUCUUUGUGAACUUUUUCAGUUUGCAGGCUGACCUUUUCGGUAGUUUAAGAUGAGACUUAAUUAUGCGGACUCUUGACUCGAUCCUCUAUCCAUAAAGAAUAUGUUAUUACCUUUUCAGGUAUGGGUGUGGUUUGUAUAAGGCUUUGGGCAUGUAGCCAUAAACAAUCAAAAUAAGGUGCACCUUUAAAUGUCGGAAUACGUUUUUCGAUACUAGAAAUAUUUUUAAUGGUUUGAAACUUUAUUUUCAUAUCUAAUUAUAAAAUUUAAAGUUUUAAAAAUAGUGUAAAUCGAGCAGAUCUAUGAACAACUGAAAAAUCUUGAAAAUUGAUGGUCUAUAAAUAUAUUACAAGAUGGAAUAUUUCUAAGACUUGAAAUCUAUUGUUUUUCUCAUGUCUAUAUAUCUUGAGGUCAAGAUGAUCGAUUUGAGGAUUUUUGGGCAUGGAAAUGACAUUUUCUAGUGGAUUUUUAUUUUUUUGGAUAGAAGUUCAAAGUUUUAUUGAUCAAGAACUAAAAGAAAUUACAGAGUCAGAGACUAAAAUCUCAGAUAAAGUGGUUCUACCUUUGGCAAGAGAAUCUUCCAAACUGUUGGCGUCACGAAAGACAUGAAUAAAAGAGCAAAGAAGAGGUCUAGUUAAGUCCAAAAUUUCCAACAAAAGAGACCGGAGUUCCCACGGUGGUUUUUGCUAGAGUUUACACCAUUUAAUGACAUUAAGAGAGUCACCUUCCACCAUACAAGUCGUGCCAAAAUUUAUAGUAGUGAAGAAUUUCAACCUAUGAAGAAGAGCCAUCAUCUCCGUGCAAUUAGCAGUUUUAACACCCAAAGGUCCAACAUAAGAAAAAAUCACUACUCCAAUCUAAUGUCUCACCACACUUCCAAAUCCAGCAGGACCCGAGUUUCCUAAAGAACUCCUAUCAAAAUUUAGUUUGAAAACCCCAAACAAAUGUGGUGUCCAUCUCCCCUGAGGCCUGCAGGUAAAAGGUUUCAAUUUAAGGAUGCUUGAAAAAUUCCUUCUCACAUCUAUCUCAAGAAUAUCUUUAUCUACUUUUGUAAUAGAACAAGAUAGCCAAACGGAAUGUAAGAUCUUAUCCACCACACAUACCUCAGACAAGCUAAUCCCAUCAAACACCCUUCUAUUUCUCUCCUUCCAAACCUCCUACAGAAUAAUGCCUCUCGAAAUUUGCCAUAAAACCGCACCAGUUGGUGGCAACCAUGGAACUGUUAAAUUUGAAAUAAUCCCUUGUAUAGCCGCAGGCGUUAUCAUAGAACUUCCCAAUUGGACAAAAAACCAAUGCUAAAUUUGUAGUGUAAAAGGACAAUGCAAGAUCAAAUGGGCCCUUGUUUCAGUGUCAUUCUUGCAUAAUAAACAUAUAUUUAGCAAAAUCUUACAUCGUUUGAUGAGAUUAUCAACCGUGAGCACCUUAUCUUGCACGGCCAACCACAAAAAAGCUCUGACCUUGGGUGGUACAGGUCAUUUCCACACUGCUGCAAUUUCCGGCAUAGACCAUCUCCAUCGGUCAUGAAAAAGCAAAUUAUACAUAGAUUUAAUCGAAAAAACUUCAUCAGAAGCAUGCUUCCAAAUUAUCUCAUCAAAAGCAUAUGGACUUUUUGUAAGAGGGCAAGCAGUUGAACAUAUUCUUGAAAAACCACUUCUGAGAUUCUAUUAUAAGGAAGGACAAUAUUCCAAUCAACCUGAUUUCCCCUUAAGACAAUGAUGUUAGAUACAACAACAUCAUAAUUUUUCAUACGCUGGUAAACCAAAGGAAACAAAUACUUAAGUGGGGUGUCACCAAGCCAUUAUGAUGCCAAAAGGAAAUAUUUUGCCCACUUCGCAAAUUCCAUCUAAUAUCCCUAUGAAUCAAACUCUUAGCAGAACUAAUAGAUCUCCAACAAUAAGACACUCCGCUUGUACCACUUCUUCAACCAGCCCACAUAUGAAAACUGUCUUCUCCAUACUUGGUGAUGAUGACUUGAUACCAUAGCUGAUCUUUGAAGUUUAGGCUAUGCCACCACCAUUUACAUAGCAAUGCUUGGUUAACCAGUGAAAUCUUUCUUAAACCUAAUCCACCUGCCCUCAGAGGAUUGCAUACCCUAUCCCAUCGAAGUAAGUGGAAUUUCUUGGAAUUAUCAAAAGAUUCUCAUAGGAAGUUGUGCAUCAAUGUCUCGAUUUUUUUGCCACCCGAGGGGGAAUCAUUAGCAACGACAUUUGUGAGAUUGGCAAAUUAGAUAAGCAUGCUUUAAUCAAGGUAAUCCUCCCACCCAAAGACAAAUAUUUAAACUUCCAAAGACCAACUUUACCUAAAUUAUUUGAAUGAUUUUAUCCCAGACAGCUAUAAGAAGACGUCCAUCUGAGAUUGGCAUUCAUAAAUACCAAAUAGGGAAGAUAGCUACCUUACACCCCAAAACCCUUGCCUUAUCACAGAUUGCACAAUCAGCACAAUUAAUACCAACUACUGCUGAUUUUGCAAAAUUCACUUUUAACCCUAAAGCCACUUCACAUUACUACAAGAAAGUUGCAAUAUUUUCCACUUGGUCACAAUUGGCCUCACAAAAUAACAACAUAUCAUAUGCAUACUGCAAAUGCGAAAGGCAAGGACCAUUGUUCGGCAUUUGAAAGCCUUUAAAAUGUCCUUUAGCUUCGAUAUUGCAAAGAAGACGACUAAAGCAUUCAACAUAGAUGGUGUACAGAAAAGGAGAUAAUGGGUCCCCUUAACAAAGCCCACGCGAGGCACCAAAAAAAUCAGUAGGACUGCCUUUGAAAAGUAUUGAAAAGUUUACAAAGGAUCGGCAUCCAAACAUCUAGCUUCUCCAUUUUUUCCCCAAACCCUAUAUUUUUCAUAAUUUCAAGAAGAAUAUUCUAUUCCACCCUAUCAUAUACUUUUUCCAUAUCUAGUUUGAUCACAACCACCACACCACUACUAACAGAUCUAGAAUGAAUACAUUCCUGAGCAAUCAAAACACUAUCAGUAAUCAUUCAAUCCUUGAUGAAAGCAUAUUGGGGCCUCAUAAUAACCUCUGGUAAGACUGUCUUGAGUCUUUUAGCCAAAACCUCAACAAUGAUUUUGUAAAGACUCGAGAGAAGGCUAAUAACUCUCAAAUCUCCCACGCACCCGAUGACCGAUUUUUAACGUAUAAGCACGAUAUAGGCAGAAUUAACCCCUUUGAAAAGCUCCCCCUUCUGUAAAAAACCACGCACCAUAUCCAACAAUUAUGAGAAAAUCAAAUUCCAAAUUUUGUGAAAAAAUAACAGAGGAAAUCCAUCUGGAGCCUUAUCCCCUGGGAGUUCAAACACUGCUUUUUUUAAUUCUUCUAAGGACACAUCCCUCUCAAGCAAUAUCACCGAAUCAGCAUUAAGGUGACUAAAACCUACGUUAGAUAGGCGAGGUGUGACCCUAACCUCUGUUGUAAAAGCCUUCUUAAAUUGAUCAACCACUGCAUUAUACAUCCCCUCCAAAUUUUCACGGUCCACACCUUCAAUUAAAAGCCCAGAAAUAUCUUUCUAACGUCACUUAGCAUUGGCAGUGGCAUGAAAAAAAAAAGUAUUUAAGUCCCCUUCCUUAAGCCAUUUGACCCUAGAUUGUGGCUUCCAGUAUACCUCUUCUACCCUUUGAAGUUCAUGAAGCUCACUAAUUUUGGAGCUUCUAGCUACAGCUAACUCCUCCGAGAAAACACAAGAGUUUUGAAUCCUAGCAUCCACAUCCAUUAAACAAUUAAGCACCUCCUCAAUUUUUGCCUUCACAUUCGGUCCUUUAUCAUUCCUUUGAGAGAUUAAUUUAUGUUUCACGCAUAAAAGCCUUUUAUGCAGUUGUAAGUCUAGAGAACCAAGGGAAAUACAAUUUUCCCAUGCACUCUUAACAAGGUCAAGCACUUCCUUGUCUGCCAGCCAACUAGCCUCAAGCCUGAAUGGCCUGAGACCAAUCUAGUGUACUUUGGUACUCAAAAGGAUGAUGGGAGUGUGAUAAGAAGAGAGCCUGAGUAAGGCUAUAACUGAGGCUAAAGGCAACAAUUUAGCCCAAUCCCCAGAGACCAAAAAACGAUCUAAUUUAAAUAUUGAUAAGCAAGAGGCAUUGCCAUUAGUCCAAGUAAAAGUAGUACCUAAAAUAGGGAAAUCGAUCAAAGCAUUGAACUCAAUAAAACGAUUAAAACGACGCAUUGCAAGCGUAAUAGAGCCUCCCCUAGAGCUUUCAUCAUGCCAUCCAGUAAAAUUGAAGCCCCCCCCCCCCCCCCCCCCCAAACACAACGGAUAAGUAAAAGAAGCAAUGGAAGCAGGCAUCUCAUUAAUAAAAGUAUAUUUUUGUGUCUACUCUUGCGGACUAUAGGCAUUCAAAAGGCCCCAACGGAAAUCAGAGGCAGGCUCCUCAAAACCAACCAAAAUAAAAUUGUCUUUAAUAAUAGAACAAAAAGACAUCAAACAAGUGGGGUCCCAUAAAAUCCAUAACCCACAAUAUGUCCCAACUGCAUCAAUACCCAAGAAAUCAACUAACCCAGGACCCCAAACUUCCCGAGCACUCCAAGCAGAGGGUUUGGGAAGUUUGGUUUCCUGCAAAAUUAAAACCGAAUGUUUAAAAAGGGACUAACAAGAAAACAUCAUUUUUGUGCUUUAGGUUACCAAUACCUCUAACAUUCCAAGAGAUAAAAUUCAUGGAAAGGGAUUAGCAGAAGAAGAACCUGGCCCAUCCCAGUUGGAGUGAGAUAAGGCAUCCUCAGCUGGCAUAGCAUCCUCUAUAUCUUCCUCAUCCCCCGACGAAGUCCCAAAACUAACUUCAACGGCUUGAAAAACAACAAUUACAAUGCCUCUCGCUAAGUGUUGAGCUCUAGACUCCCUUGAGCCUGCAGCCUAGCCGAGGUCCUCGUCCCCAUAGCCACUGCUUUGCCUUUUGCUUUUGAUUUCUCUUCUACUAUUGGGAUAUUUUCUACAGCCACAUCCACAAACUUAGAGCCCUCAGCAUCAUUAUCUUUAGCUUUAUUCGAUCCUCCACCUUCUUUACCUUUCUUCUUAUUAGCGAUGAUCUCCUUAGAAACAACAUUGAUAGGGAUAUUGAAAUCCAUCCCACUAUCAAAGACGAUUGAAGCAACUAUCGUCUUGUCCAUAGCAGGCGUAGGCACUGAACCUAGCAAAGACUUCAAAUCAGCAGGAGGCAUAGGGUCUGCCAAAGUCGAAGAAGUAGUGAAGCCAAUCAUUAGUGGGCCCUCAUCUUGACGGAUCAUAGAAAAAGGUCUGGUAGCGUCCAUCUCCACCACUGCUAAAGCAUUGUGCUCAGUUUGAACUGGUUCCUCAAUAUUAUCAGGCAAACCCCCAAGUUCCAAAAUUUCAUGUUCACCUUCCUCAAUGUCCAAUAGGACUUCUUCCUCCUCAAUCAACACCAGAGCUAGAGGAUUAAUCAAAAGAGGAUCAAAUCCAUUGUUGGAAUGGGGACGAGAAUUGCGAACCUUCCUAUAGGCCCGGCGAUGGAACAAGGGGUACAUCUUCACUGCUGCAAGUAACAUUAAAUAAAGUACCGAACAAUGCUUUUGUCCUGUGAAAACAAUGGCUGUUGCCACCCACAAAAAGGCACUAAACGCAUCGCUUUUCUUAGCUUGAACCACCGCCUUAGUAGUAACCAGGGGAAGAUGAGGGGAGGAAAGGAAAGCCUUCCCACAAAUCGAAGACACCGGCCAAAAAUCAGGGGCAACUGCCACGUUGUCCACCUCCUUCCUCGAGGUAGCUGAAGCGAUAUCGGAAGAGGAUACGAAGCUGCCAUGCAAAAAAGGUGCAACUAAAGAACUUUAUGGUCCGUGAUGGACUACAUCUUGAAUUGGGCUCUCAGACUGUUUAGUAACCGAAUGCACCAAAGACGGCGUUCCAUUCGUGAAACGGUCUACUGGGAUCCACCAUUUCGAAAAUUUCAAAUUUCGAAAAUUUUCCAUCUCUUCCCAAAUGAUCUCCGGUGAGUCCUUGAAGCUGUUUGGAAUAGUCUCCGGACAAACCUUGUGUAGGGGUCUAUUUCUCCCACGUCGCUGAAAUACCUGACUCCACCCAUCAGUUUCUUUAGCAUUCUCCUCCGUCGUAUUUAACACCAUCGGUUUAGAAAGAGGAGAUUUAAGCUCAGAAGAGAUCUUUAUAGAAAAGGAUUCUUUGCCCACAAAUAAUCUAAUCCAUUUGGGAAUAGGAGUCCCAUUCCACUUCCAAAUACGAACUCACACAUAACUCAAAUCAACUCCUCAAAAGGAAGUAUCGUCAAUAUCGCAAAACGCCUCACAAUAAUUCACCACCUUACGAAUAGCGCCAUACGACCAUACGUGAAGAGGAAUCCCUGUCAAUGUAAUCCAAAGACUUUCCUUGGAAGUAUAAAAGCAAUGAGAAGACGAUUUCCAUAUAUCUAAGGAUAAAAGCUUACCCCGAAUUCUAACAAAUGUAUUUUCCAAAGCCUUACUGGUGUCUCCUUUAGCACGCAGUAGGAAAGCAAUCAUGUUGUCCCCCAAGGCUUUGACCUUUGGAGCAUAUGACAAACUAUAUCCUCUUUUUGCCUAGUCACUAAGCCCAAAAUAUCAUUUGAGGGAAGGGAAAACAAACCUACUACAAGGAAAGGAGCUUCCAGUAGUAGACCACCUGAAAGGUCAUAUCGAACAGCAACAUCAGGCAUCAAUCCACCGUCUUCCUCGCUCUCGCCGUCACCUAAAUCACCAAACCCCAUCUUUUUUCUAGUUGGCUAAAUUAUUCUAAAGCAAUGAUUAACACUGCAAUAUGCAAUUGUCUUGCACUAGGGAAAAUGGUAUACAAAGUUGACAUCCUAAAUUGUAGAAUUAAGAUGCGCUUUAAAAAUCGAUAAGAAAAGAUUAUUUUGACGUUGAAAAAUUAUCUCUUUUCUCUAGUGGAUUUUUUAAGUGCACCUUAAUUUAAUUGUUUAGGAUCUCGCCCUUGUAUAAACUUUUUCUUUGAGAUAUUAAAGAAGAUUUUUUAGGUCAAUUGCAGCUGCAUUUUACAAUGUGGUUAAAACCAUGAAUUGACAGGCACAAAAAACACCCAUAACUCUUUCAAUACUUGAAGUUUUUAGGUGAGGUAUGAGGUAAAGUACUCCUAAAGUGGUUCCUCGUGACUCUAUAGAGUUGAGUAAACAAAAUCCAGUGAAAAGGCGACGAAAUAGGCAAGAAAAGUGUAUAAAAACAUGAAUUUGCUGAGUUUGGGAUAAACAACAAAAAUAUCUGCAACUCCCUUAAAUCUGGGAGGUUUUGGAUGAAAUUUGGUGCAAAAUAUUCCUAAGUCGAUUAUCUAAGAUUUUGUGGAGCCAAACCCAGUUUAUCUAUGAAAAAUAGUGAAAUAAGAUGGGUAUAUGGGAAUCCAAGCUUUCACCAAUGGUAAUAGCUGAUAUUUUUAUUAAAAUAACCCCAACAAAUUUACCCUUUCGAAAAGUGACGCAAAUGAAAAGUAAUUCUCCACCCAUGUAUCAUAAUAAAAAAAGAGGGUUAAUUUUCCACCUAUGCUCUACCCCUUCUCUAUAUAAAGCCUUAACCAUGGCCAUUUGUUAAGUUGAAAGUUUGGAGUCCGAGUAUUCUAAGUUGUAACUGCAACCUAAUCCUGGGUGAGUUUAAUAAAAAACCUAAAAUGGUCACCAAAGAACCCUAGUAGAUAGAAAGUAAAUGACAUCCCAAGGCUUAUUGUGGGAUGAAUGCCAGGCCAUUCUCCUUCGAGGCUCGUAUUUCUUGAAGGAUAGUAAGGGCAUGUUUGUUUGGGGGAACUUAUUUCUCCAUAAUAAAACAUCAUUUAUCACUGUAGCAAUCUCGUGGACGACGCACGGGAAGUUCUACGGUCUCAGGCACUUGUUGGAAAUUUGCCCUCCCCCCCAACCUUCGCCUUUUGGCUUUAAAAGAGGAACAUAUAUGUUCCAUGGCUAAGCCAGAAAUUUAGUUUUUGGAACUUUUUGGUGAUAAAAGUCCCUAAUACUUUUUCUUCCUCUCUCUCAUCUCAGAGCUUGCAACCCGUUGUCUUAACCUAGUAGUCUCUCUCAGGCCUGUCUCCAAGCUCACAAGCCCUAGCAAUGCCUUCUUCUCUCUCGUCUCUGCAACCAGGUAACGUAUUCUUCUUCUCUCAUCUUAUUUUUCCUCUCUCAUCUUAUUUUUCCUCCCCUCUCUUUCAUCUUCUCUCUCGUCCCAUCUUCCUCUGAUCUCUCUCCUAUGCAAUCUUUCUCUCCUCUUUCAUCUGUUUUCUCUCCUUACCUACUGCUUUCGCUCCAUCUCUCUCAUCUUCUACGUUUUACUGUAAACAUGAGGAAAGAAGUAAAGCCUCUACAAUUUACAAGUGUAACCAGUCAACUUGAAAUCUCUCUCUCACUCUUACAGAUAGCUCUUCGACAUUUCAUUUUGUGCUCUCUGCUCUCUCUCAACUUUUCCCUUUACCGAGAAACAAAGUUUUACGGGCAAUUUUAAGGAAGCGUUGGAUUUAGGUCGCUGCCCAAUAGCAUAGGACAGACUGCUCACAUUCAUUGACAUGUGCAUGGGGUAUUUUCAUCGUCUUUUAUUUUGUAUAUAAUUUUUAGUGUUUUUUUUUUGUACAGUUAGGUCUAAUGCACCUUUCUAUAAAAUUCAGCUCAAAAUAAUUUAUGAAAAAAAAUUAAAAAUUAAAGAGUGCCCAUAUACACCGGUCAUGAUGCUCAUAUAGAGUUUAAGCAUGUACCAAACCAUAAGAAAAUAUGAGAUACAACUAAUUUUAUUUAGAAACAUAGAAUUUAGAGAAGUUGAGAACUAAUUUUGUCAUUUGAAGGCACCAUAUAAACACUUUGCAUAUGUAUGCACCAUUGGUUUAAAAAAACGCCCAGUUGGAACAAAAAUGCCCAGUCCGAGCUGGAAAUUGGGUACCCCAUUCCAGUUCUACGUAUAUAGGAAAACAGCCUGGUCUAGAAGGAAACUAGUGGUUUUGCACAGUAAAAUGGCGAUCUGGAUCGAUUUUUAGCCAGUUCACUAUUUUUAAAAGGUUUUUUCACUGAUUCACUAUUUUUUCUGUACAAUGGCGAUCCAAGCUGUCGAUUCAUCUAUCCAAACCGGUUUUUGGGGUGACCAAUCCAAGUCACCAAAUCGUUUUUUUAAACCACUGGUAUGGAGGCAUUUCCAAAAGCUCUUCUGCCCUCCUCUUCUUAGAAUUGCUAUUUCUUCUUAAUCUCAUGCUUUACCCCAUCUUUCUUCAAUGUUAUCAUACCAAUAUCUAUUUACUUUUGUUGAGCCAUGAUCGAGUUGAAUAUUUAGUACCUGUAAUCCAUGGUUAGGUUUCUAAUCAAGCAGAAAUCAUUUGUUAUGGAAUGUUGCUUUUGAUAUAAUAUGCUAUAUGAGUUACGCAGAGUUUUUUCUUUUUUUUGGGUAACUCAGUGAGGGAGAGGCCAUGUACCCGUUUUUCAUUAAUAAAAAAUUGAAAAAAUUACAUCGUACUAUCUUACAACCCUACAAUAAGGUAAUUGCACCACAUCAUGAAGUAGAGGAAGGCUAAGAAAAUCUAGAGGCCUAGAGCGCUAAAUGGUGGCCUUCGCAAAAAUAGUAGCCUUUUUGGCAAGAACAUCAGUCACCAUAUUAGUCCCACAGUAAACAUGACAAAUGGUUCAUGAAUGAUUCUCAAGUCUAGACUUGCAAUUAACAACUAUGAUAUGAAGAGCCUAUUGCGCUUCACACCUACCCUGCAUAACCUAAAUAAAUAAGGAAGAAUCACUCUCAAUUUGUAGGGGGAGCAUUCUAUUUGAGUGGCUAAAUCAAUAUCCUCUUGUAAACCUCAAAAUUCUACAUAAUUAUUGGUAGCAAUUCCAAGAGGAGCUGAAAAAGGAGCAGCGAAAGAUCCAUCAUCCCGUCUCAAGAUGCCCCCACAACCAGCUUGACCUGGAUUAUGAAUAGAAGAUCCAUCAAUAUUUAGCUUAAAAUAUUAUGAGUGUGGAAAAGCUCAUGCCAGUGUUAUGGGUAACUUGAUUCUCUGCUGCCGCCACGUAAGUCGUAAAUUCUCAGUAAUUGCCUUUUCUGAGAUGUGGUAAGUCCAUGCUUUAGCAUCCGCCAAAUUACGAAUAUGGUUGGUGAUCCUCUGAGUCAGCUUCACAAGAGUGAGUUUCCUUCCUUGAAACAUAUGAUGGUUCCGAUCCUUCCAAAUCAUCCAUAUAGUUGUGAAGAAGAGAGAAUGCCAAAUGUUGAUAAUACCAUCAGACUUGAAUCUGAAUGCUAACCAUUUCCUAAGUAUAACUGCAAUAGGGCACAUGUAAUAAAGCAUUUCCCACAUUGCUAUGCUAUAGACCUCUAAAUACCUGCAAUAGUCAGCUACGCAGAGUUGGGAAGCAAUGACAUGUAUUUGCCCGAUUUACGUAGAACCCGAAAGCAAACGAAGGGAACUUGCCGUGUAUGCGUCCGGUUCGUAAGACUCAGCUGAGUUAGCAACACUCUUUCAAAGCCCAUAUUUUCCCAAAAAUGGAAAAGAGAUGAAAAUGGAUUUGAAGAAGAGCGAUAUAUGCAUAUGAUAUCAUUUUAUUUGAGAAGCUUGGAAAUAUAACUUCCAAAAUGCAGAUAAAUUUUUUCUUCCAUUAUUUUUUCAUACUUAUUUUUUGAUGUUCUCUCUCACAUAGAUAAUUCCGUGGGGUGGUACAUAUUGUGAUGCUCUAAAAAUUUUCUUUAUCCAUGAAGAGAAUUACGUUUUUGACCAAUUACUAUUUUUUAAAGAGAUUGUAUACUUUGAGAUCAUUUACUUUUGAUACAAGAAGGUCACGACUUUUUUUAGCCAUUGAAUGUGAAAUUUAAUAUAUUAAAAUGUAUUACAACUUUUGAAAAAACUUGUUUUGGACUUUGUGCUCAAUUAGUGACACAUCAUGACCAUCUGAUUUAACAUCCAAUGGUUCACAAUGAUUGUGACCUUCUUGCGUUCAAAGUAAAUAGUCUCGUCAUAUACAUUUACAAAAAAAAAAAAAAAAAAUUAGAAUGCUCUGGGUAGUAUUGUUGAUAGUGAUCAUUGUUCACGGCAGCAAAUUGUACAGUUUCUCCCAUGGGUAAAACACCUACUUAGGGGAUCUGUUUUGAGUUUCAAUUAGCAGUUUUGAAGAAAAUUUUGAUCUCGUGUCAUGAUUAACUCUAGAAGCAACUGAAGGCUAUAUACUCGAUGGACAAUACGAAUCAAAUAGAUCUAUUGGAUCCUUUUUCUCGCUUGAGAAUCUCUUCCCUUUCUUCACUCAAUCCCGAGGAGUAACUAGGACCAAUUCAGUAGCAGACCCAAAUGAAUAUUGGAUAUGGAAGUACGUGAAUAGAUGGAGAUCCGGGUGGGAUGAUGGCACAGACGGACUCCUUUAGGAUCGGGAACUAGAUGUAGAAUGGAAUACGCCCAUCGAGACAGGGCAAGCAAUAUUUAAGUAGGGCGAUCUGUUUGAUAGUGACGUAGGGCAGCUACUCUUCUAAAGGGCGGGCGACCACCUCUUUUGGAUCUAUUGAAGCGCGAUUUAGAUACAUCCUACCAUUCGGCUUUACAAGACAAUUACAAAAACAUUUAUCUAAAUGACAAGUAAAAACCGGGUGAUCUCUUGCUCUGUAUAACAGAAAACAUAAUCUAGGUGCGUUCAGCACUGGAACUGCUACAUGUUUAUUAUAACACCGGUCUUGCAAACCUCUGCAACUCAAGAACAUGACUGCAUGCUAGUUCAUUAUAGCUAACGGUCUACUAGGGCUUGUUGGAUAACACAAGUGAACUUCUUCUUUGUUUAAGAUAAGAUGAGAAGAGAGGUUACACUUUUUUUAAAGCCGAAACACUUAACGCUAUCCUCAAAGCUGAAAGAGUGAAGCUUGACUCACCUCAAAACUAGAAGUCUUUGGUUAUGCUGUCCUCAUUUCAAAGCAAUCCGCUCCCUUUUUAAUCUCAAAUCUGAGCCUAUACGAACAGAUUUGUGGGUUUCUCCUUUGAAACAAUAAAAAAUAUAAUAAUAAUACGUGGAGACUCAACAAUCAGCAGUUCCUGUUACGUGGUUCCCUUAAGGCACCGAAGGAGGCCAUAGGAAUUGCAUUAAUUAUACUGGUUCCGACAAGGAACACAGGUUGGUUUAAAUUGAUUUCCUAUCUGAAUAGACAAUUCCCGAUCAAGACCAUAGGUUUUUUUAGCACACAAGGUAAACUAGAUAUCUAGAUUUCAUCUAAAUGUAGAAUAUUAUAUCCUGAAGCCGAAAAUAAAAGAGCAAAUUUCCGAAACGCAAAUCUACUGAAUGUCAAACAGUCAACUGUGUCAUAAUUAAUUUCGUUUUUCAAUAAAGCAGGAGCACCCUUUUUCUCAAGUUACUGUGAGGAUCAAUAAGCCAUACACAUUUUUUAAUCCUAAGAAAAGUGUUAAAACAUACCUUUUAAUGAUUCACAAGAAUCUCUUGAUCGGUUUAAAGUCGAACACUCAUUCCCACUACUAAUUGCCCAAAAUUAAUGCGGUAAUAUUGGGUGGUUUGGAAAGGAGGGUCACAAAACAACACUCGUGGCACAAUAACAAGAAAAGCUUUGGUAAAGAGCUUCGUUUUCAGACAAAUAUGAUUUCUAUAUUAGUUGCCAUUACUAAUAUAUUCAAUUCGGUCCGUGCUACGUACGCAGGGCUAAUAGGAGUGUAUUUCAAUGAGAACGAGGAUUUACAUAAAAGUUCUAGGAAAAUACUUUCCAACGCCGGUGAGCGAAGUGAAUAACUUUUCCGUGCAACAUAUUGGUGCGGUUAAAAUCAAUCACAACGGAUUUAUUAUAUCUAUGGUGGUACGUAGUAUGUUUUUGGCGGUUGAUUUUUUCACAUAGUCCAAAAAAAUCAAACGACGACAGGUCUUUAGGUGAAAACACUUUUCAUUUUUGCGUAUGGGCAUUGUGUAGAGCUUUCCAAAGUUAUAUAUAUGGUCUGAAAUUGGGUUUCGACUUUGGGUUCGGGUCCAACAUAGACCCUUUAGGGUAAGGUCGGGCUUGGGUCGCGGUCAACCCAACUGGAGCCAACAUGGUAUUUUUAUGUGUAAGGUUCUAGGUAUGGAUUACGUUAGCGUAAUUUAUAAUUAUACUUAAAAAAUUUUAGAUAUUUAUAUAUCAUUGUUUUGUACAUAGAACAUUUUUUUAAUAAAGAUAUUUUUUGUUAUUAAAAGGGGUAUGACAUCAUUCAUAUAAGGUGAAACAUUACUUAUAUGGAGCAUACUAGUGUCAUUUAAUGCUCCAUGUGAGUGAUGUCAUAUCUCAUGUGGAUGGUGUCACCAUUCGUAAUAACAAAAAUACUCUUACUACAAAAAUAUUUCAUGUACAAAACAAGGAUUUAUAAGUAUCCAAAAUUGGUUGAGUAUAACUAUAAAAUGCUCUAUAGUGUACACACCCUAAUAUAACCUAAUAAAUAUAUAAUAAAUUAUAUUAUAAAAAAAAAGAUUGUAUAUAAUGAGACUAUCUACCUUUUAUACAAGGUGGUCACAAUUAUGUACAACCAUCUGAUGUGGAAUCUGAUAACUUAAGCGUCACAAAGUUCGAAAAAAUUUCUUUUGAAGUUUAAGCUUAGUUAAUGGAAUAAAUAUAGCCAUUGAAUUUCACAUCCAAUAGUUAAAAUUAAUUGUGAUCACCUUACACUAAAAAUAAAUGAUCUCAUUGUAUACUUUUUCCUAUAGGAAAAAAAAUGUAACAUUUUCUUUUGUACCUUUUCUUUUAUUAAUUCUAGGCCAAGAUAACUGGUUUUGGGUCGGGUCCAUAUCUAACCUAAAUCUAGUCUGCUAGGGUGCAGGUCCAAGUCAACCCGAACCAUUCCCAAUCCCGAAUCACCUUAACAUAUAUUAUUUACUUUGGCUUAUGUUCGAGAAGGAAAGAUGUUUGGUGAUUCGACCGAUGUGUCCAGUUUUCCGUUAAAAGGAUUUAGGAUCUCAAACACACCUCAAGUUACGGUGAAUUCAUUUUCACUUAAGAUUCACAAAUGUUGCGUAUUGGUGGUUUUGGAAGAAUUAAAAUGAAUGGUAAAAAAUACAAAGUGAACUAUUUUUAAAGCUCUAGACUGAGGAGUAUAAUGGAGGUAGAAGGUGAUUCCUUAAAUUUGAUGUAGGUGCUGUGGGCCUCUAAAUCUAUUUGGUUUUCAGAUUUUGGAUGUUUGUGAGAGGGUUAAUGUUUUCUUUGUUGGUCGAUGUCCAUGUAUUGUGUUUUUGGUUUUGUCUUUUGAUGUGUAAUUUAGCUUCUCAUAUCAAGAAAAUUUGAAUGACUUUUAUGCAAAUUAUAUUUUUCAAAGCUUAAUAUUUUAUUUUUUUAAAUUCAUAAUGGUAGUAGUGAAGAUGGCAUACUUCCAAAAUUUUGGAUCCAAAACUAUCUCCAACAUCAAAUUUUGGAUCCCAAAUCUAUCUCCAACGUCAAUUUCAGAGAAGUGGACUGAAUGUAAAAGUUGCAUCCAGCUUAACCCUAACUUAAAUAGAACAGCCUAUACUGGUUUUAGGUUGUCACAUAUAUAAGAAAGGUUAAUGAUGGAGGGCGUAGAUGAGACUGCGCACGCAAUUUUUAAGUGAAUAGUCCCAACAACUUUAGGGGUGGGUGGUUUGUAUAAAGCUAAGGCCCUAAACAAUCUAAGGUGUGGUGUACUUUCAGAUUGUGUCGAAAGAUGUUUUAGUAUUGUUAAUCUUUGUGAAAGCUUGAAAAUUCAUUUUUAUCUCUAAAUAUAAAAUUUAAAGCUCAAAAAAUAGUGUAGAUCAAACAAAUCUAUAAACACAUAAAAAUCUUAAAAAAUGGCAGUAAAAAAAAUGCAUUAUAAGAUGCACUAUUUUCAUGACUUGAAAUCUAUUUUUUCUCAUGUCCAUACAUCUUAAGAUUGAAAAGAUCGUUUCGACCAUUUUUUGAUAUUGAAACGACUACUUCUAGUGAAUUUUUGAAAUGUACCUUAAUUUGAUUGUUUAGAGCCUCAACUUUUAUAAAUGGUUUCCUUUGUAUGGUUAAAAUUGGGAUUUGACUUCUAUCAUGUCAACGACGUAACCACCCAAAUGAGUACGCAAACCGUGGCCAAGCUGUAAAUGAGAGCUCGAAUAUGCCAAUACACUUAAAAUGGGAUCUCGAGUGGGUGCGAAUGAGCACGAGAUUGAAAAAAAUAAAAGAAAAAAAUUAAAAAAACUAAAAUGUUAGAAAAAUAGGAAUGAAUAUAUUGCUUAGAAAUGAUUUUGAUAGUUUUAGGAUGAUUUGGAAUCUUACUUUUUUUUUUUUUUUGCCUUUUCUUAGUUUUUCUGGAAUAUUAAAAGAUACAAAUCAAAAUUUUCAUCAGUGCACACCUUCAAAUGAUUUCUAACUCUAAACACGACUGAAUGAAGGCGACCACUGCAGAGCAACGAAAGAACCGAGGUUUGAUGAGAGAGAGAAGGUCUUGUCACGUGCUGAGAGAGAGAUGGGCUUGUCAGGUGCACCCUGUGACCACGCAAUUUUGCUUGUAUUUGACGCAUGCUGUGCGACCCGUGAUCGCACAAAGCACACCCUCCCCUCCCUGCGGUCUUCUUCUCGAUGCAGACCCUCUACUGGACCUGAUAGCGUACAUAUCGAUGGGCAAUGAUAGUAAAUGGAAAAGUAUUAUUCUCAUCGCAAUGAUUUUAAUAGUCUUAAGGCACAAGGGUUGAUCUAAACGUCUAAUUGAUAAGCCAAGAAAUCGACAUAAAGUUUAACAUGGUUUAAAGUAUAGGCCCUUAAGUCUAAAGAAGCAACUAGAAAAAAACAUCCUUUCGAAUUAUUUGAUGACGGGCCAUUUUGCUAUCCCUUUGAAUAAGAGUACCUUGUUACACAUGUGUCACUUCAAUUCUAUCUUAUCCACUAAGCCAAAAGAUUUUAUGCUCCGGUUGGAGUAUGCAUGCUAUUGCAGGAGUAUACUCUCUAUUUACUACUUCCUGUAAAAUCCAAUUUUGAAGUGGUUGUAAGAUCCAAACCCAGUUUUUGGUGAUGUAAACUACCAAACACAUAGACUAACCUCCAUUUUAAAAAAAAAAAAAAAAAAAACCAAAUUGCACUAUCUAUGCACUUUGUAUCUAAAGAUGAAACAUAGGUCAUCCGAAUUUUGGAAGGUGAGAUCCAAGUGUAAAACAAAACAAAUUUUAAUUUUUAAAUUUUGAAAAUAAUUAUAUAGUGAUUUUUAGAUAGUUCGAAAAAAAAUUUAUUGAAAAAUCCUCUCAAUUAGGUUGGGAGUAUAUAUACAAUAUCCUCGUACAUAGUAUAUGCGCAUUCACUAAUAUCUAAGCACUUUGUUUCGUAGGAUUUGUGAUAUGGAAUUGCAACCAUCCACUUGUGUCCAAUAUAAAGUGUGUUUUAUCCUUGGUCCUAACUUCUUAAAGUGCAUGUAUAAUGAUGAUUCUGAAUAAAGGGCUCCAAUUUGAAGUUUUGAAUUUGGGUUAUCAAAUGUCAGGGUUAGAUGGGCCAUGGUCAAUGAAUAAAUACCCACCCACCAACCAACCCACUCAAUUGCAAGGCUUCAUAUUUAGUAGCGAUGUCACUUGGUGAAGGCAUGGCUUUUAUUUAUGCGUCGUUCAAUAGCCGACCAGGAUUAGCUUUAGCCAUUAAAAUUUUAGUGGGCCGUGAAGAGAUUCUCGAUCCAACCAUAUCUCUUUAAAUCUCAUUUUUUUCACUUUUGUCAAAAUUUUUACUGUUUAUUGUGUGUUAGUGCAAAUCAUUGCAAGUAUACACUUCUGUUCAAUUUGGAAGCCCGUCAAUGAAAAGUCAUUUUUAUAGUCAAAUAGUAUUUGAGUGAUAGGAUUGGCAAAAAUAAAAAAAAAACAUGGAAAAUUGUUUGAUGUCAGCUGGACCGCAUUUCUUCAAUAUACCUCUCAAAUCAAUACUCAAGAUGAAGGCAAAUAGGUAGUCCAUCCAUCUAAAAAUAAUUGUAACUAAUCGUUUAAAUAUUUUUUAAUAUAAUUAUCAUUUUUAAUUUUUAAAUAUUUUUUAUAUUUAUUAAAAAUUAAGAUCAAAUUGUAUUUUUUAAAAAUUAAGAUCAAAUUAUAUUCUCUAAAAAUUAAGAUCAAAUUAUAUUUAAAUAAAAUAUUUAUUAUCGGGCCUGCAUUUCUACAGUAUUAAGUAUCCCUUCAACCAAAUCCAUUUAUGAUUUGAUGUGAUUGAAAACGGCCUUCGAUCAAUGUCUUUAAGACUUAGACACCUUAUCUCAUGGUGAUCAAGGCGCGUUUGGAACCACAUCUUCGAGGAUACCCCAAGUUUUCAUUGUCUUCCACGGGAUUGGGAUCCACUUUUUAGCUUUUAAUUAUAAAUAAAGGGUAAGUAAAUACUGUGAUAUAUAUUUUAGGGAUUGUAUACAAUGAAGACAUUUGUGAUACGAGGCUAUCACAAUUUUUUAUAAUUAUUUGAUGUGAAAUUUAAUAGUUUGAGUGUGUCGAUUUGAUAAAUUGUUGUUUAGAAGUUUGAACCCAGAGAAUGGAAUAAAUAUAACCAUCUAAUUUCAUAUCCAAUGAUCAAGAUUAAUUGUGACCAUAUAUGGUUAUGUUGUAUAUUUUUUCAUCUAUUUUAUUUUAAAGCUUAUAUUUUUUUCUUUUCUUUUUUUUUAAAAGCAAUUCAGUCGAGAAAACAGCCCCUACCCGUUCUUUUAAAAAGAUUAUGAGUUCGAUUUCUUAAGGUGUUACUGGGGUAGUGUUAGUACUCGUUUUUUUUUAAGUCGAUUAAGAGCUAAAUUUUUUGUGGUGUUAGUAGUAGAAAUAAAAUGGAUACGGGGCGUGGGGAUGCUAUUGCCACUACCCAGCCUUUUUCCUAAUUUCUCUGUUAACCAACAGGACAGUGCAAGAAGACCUAGUUUUCACAAAUCAAAACCGCUUCUUUUAGAAAUCAAACACGCCCUCGGUGUCUUAUAACAUAGAUUCUAUUAUGAAGUCCAACAGACCAAAUUUGCGUAAGUGAGAGUGAGAGUGAGAGUGACAGUGAGGGAGAGAGCAACAAGUUGAAAGAGCAGCCCCCUAAGAGCGAGAAGGUAAACAAUUCACAGUGGCUCCAUGGUUUAUAAACUCAUUCAAUAUUUAUUUAUUCGCCGGAUCUCGGCUAUUAGGAAGACCACACAUCGCUCAGAACAAGUGAAAACAUAACGAGAAAAUGAGAUGCGACCUCUUUAACUGUAAACUCUCUCUCUCUCUCUCUCUCUCUCUCUCUCUCUCUCUCUCUCUCUCUCUCUCUCUCUCUCUCUCUCGUCGUCGUCGUACGUCGUCGUACGUCGUACGUCGUACGUACGUACGUACGUACGUACGUACGUCGUACGUACGUACGUACGUAANNNNNNNNNNNNNNNNNNNNNNNNNNNNNNNNNNNNNNNNNNNNNNNNNNNNNNNNNNNNNNNNNNNNNNNNNNNNNNNNNNNNNNNNNNNAGGAACGCUGCAACUUCUGUAGCCUCGCAGCGCUCACUACAACCACGUUGUGAACGUUCUUGUCAUACUGAAACUAGCCAUGAGAGCACACAAGUUCGCAUUAGUCUGAGUGAGAGAGAGAGAGAGAGAGAGAGAGAGGCAGAGGAAAUCAGAUACCAAGAACAUCUCCUGCCCUGAAGCGCUUGCCAGCAGGCCAGCUAACCAUGUUGAAAGUCCAGCCACUGCUAUCACCUACUGUAUAAGUGGUGGCAGCGGUGCUAACCUCCACAAGGCAUAUCAUCAUAAACACCAAAGCCACCAAGCUCAUUGCACUGCCCCUUCCCUGUGCCAUCUCUCUCUCUCUCUCUAACUUUACUCUAAUGCUCUCUCUCUCUAAAGCUUAGAGGUAAACAGAGCUUGUUUUAGAGUGAUGAGGAAAAGGCAGCAAGCGAGGGCUAAUUUAUAGGAUCGAAUGAUGGGUAAAAAGUCACUGGGAUUAGAAAUCCAUGCCUGAUAGAGUAGAUUGAGGUUUUUCUUUUAUCUAUGUGGACUCCUUUUCUCCGUCUUAUUUAGCCUUUAUUUUACCAUGCGGAUUAAGAAAAAGUUGGGGGACGAAGAUGUCGGCCAACGACCCACAUUCACAGUGGCUCUGAGGUUAGGUAGUUUCCACUUAUUAACUGCUGUCAACUAGGACGAAUAAACAAUUGAAAGGAUUUUAUACUCCAAGGGAGCAAAAUGACGAUUUGCUCCUUAAAUAUAAUCCUAGAUUGAGUGUGUUUGGGAUGGUUUUUAUUCCUAUCAAGGAAAGAAAUCACAUCCCCAUAUUACCGAAAAGAAUAUAAAGUAUUCAAUUUUUGGGACAAGAUGGGGUUUUUUUUUUAAUAAUGGGGUAAAGAUGGUUUCUUUUUUUUGAAAAAAAAGAAAAGAAAGACAAAAAAAUACACCCCUACGUGUACGAGAGAAAAUGAUGUGAAUUGAUUAAGUCGGGCUAUCUAAUUUUUGAACGAGCAAAUUUAAAUAUAAAUCUGAAAAUCUCAUAUAAUGAUGCAAAAAUGAAUUCUAAAUUUCCAAAUAAAGAAGAUGUUCCCGAGUAUAUCUCUAGCCCAUGGGAAUAACUCUAGUGUGCUGAUGUGCUCCCAAGCAGUACACCAUAAAAUUAUUAUUUCAAGGCGUUAAAGCCGGGGCUAAAAUAUUUAAUAUUGUGAUGGGUUUUUUGGUGAUAUGGUGGGAAAGGAUCCAGAGUUCCGUCAAACUGUAUGACUCUCUUUUGUUUGUGAACGGAUUCGUCAAACUGUAUGGCUCGUGAGUCCAAAAGUGCCAGAGCACAAAAUAAGGGCGAGUCGUCCACAUUUAAUGGGUUAGUGUGGCCGUUGAUGUCAUUUUCGACUCACUCCCCUGCUUUCUUUGCGACACGAGAGGAUGGGAGGACUUAAACGUUCUUGGACCCUCUCUCUCUUCCAAUAUGCCUUCUUGCUCGCAUCACUAAUUCAUUUCAGGUAAAUUCACGUAUUUUAGAGCUUUUUUUUACCGUUAUAAGGGUAUGGCUAAAACUUAUCAAUUGGAUGGAGGAAUCUACACUUUUUCAAAUUUAACCCGGAUCGGAUGUUUGAUUUACCCCCUCCAAAACUUGCUCUUUUCUCUCUCUCCUCUCUCGCUUGCUCUCAGUCCUCUCUCUCCCUUGCUCUCAGUCCUCUCUCUCCCUAAUUCAAAGUCGCCUCUCUCUUUCAAAGCCUUAUUCUUAUUACAUGUAAAUCUCACUCUCUCUCUCGAAGCCCUACUCCCCGUACCUGCAGAUCUCAUUCUCUCUUAUAGAUUUGGGAUUGUUUUGAGGAAAUCCCAUAAUAUACAGUCCCUUUAAUAACAUAACUUAAAGAUGGAUUUUUAAGGUCUAAAAAAAAAAACAAACAGAGAACUACCUGCUGUACACCGUUCACGUCCUGAUUCGGCUGAUUCAAAAGAGAGAGGAAAUGGGAGUAGGGCUUUUAGAGAGAGAGAGCAAUAUUGAACCAAGUUGAGAGGGAGGGGACCGAUGGCUGGCGACACUGAAGAGAGAGAAAGAAGAGAUCAAUUUUCCGAGGAGGUAAAUAAAGCGGUCCAAUUUUUUGACAAGUUUUAAAAAAAUAAUGAUAAAAAAACCAGUGCAUACAUAAAUUUCCCUUCUUCUAAAUAUAAGGUUGCUGUUAUGGUAUUAACAUCCGCUACAACCAAAAUAGUGGCGGUAGUAUUUGAAAAUAACGGCAUUUUUGCCACCAAAAGAAGUCUCCCACAAGAUCAGGCUUUCUUCUUCUAAUGUCGGCUAGUCAAAAUAUAACAGGGUGUACCUGACAUUUAUAGCUUUGGGAUACGUGUUGAAUUCGAAAUUGGGCGGUAUACGAAACACAAGCAUUUAUUGUGUUGUUGUCUUGAGUGGUUCAAGAUAUUUUUUGUUUUAGAAGUGUGGAUCGGAAAUAUUUUGAAAAAAUUAAAUAUUGACGGAAGUAAUAAGUAAAGAUAAGGGAACUACUAGUUUUAUUAAAGGUAUUAGUUUUUUAAUAAAAAAAAUAAUCGAACAAAAUUCAUGUAGCCGAUCCCAAAUAAUUCAAAUAAGGAUAUGAUAAUGAUGAUCAUGGUUUCAUUUGAAAAUACUUUGGGCUAACUAGCGUCCAAAGGCGCAAAAACUGAAAAGAAAAUAAACAAACAAGAGUGCAUUGUGGGAUCUAUCGACAAACCAUACUGCAUUACCUUCAAUAAGGAUAGAAAAAUAACCAAUAUCAUUUUGAUGGUUCAUGAGACAUACAUUCAAGGAAGGUAGAAUGUAAGCUUGACUCGUAUAGAAGCUUGAUUUUGAGAAAGCUUAUGAUAAACUUGAAAGAGCUAUUUGAUGGAAGUUCUCUUGAGGAUGGGCUUCGGUGGCCGAUGGAAAAUGUGGAUCUUUAGUUGUAUUUUUUGGGCCCAAUAUUCAGUUCUCAUGAACAGUUGGCUUUUUCAAAGCUGCUAGAUGCAUCAAGUAAGGGUAUCCGUUAUCCCCGUUCUUGUUCUCCUUUGUUGCUGGGUCCUUGAGCCUCCCGGCUAAUUCUAUGUAUGGAAAAAAAGACUCCUAAAUGGCUUCCCCACUUCUACUCAUGGACGUAUUGUAUCUUAUCUGAAAUAUGUAGAAGACACAUUAUUCUUUUGCAGCGCAUCCUUUGAAGAAGUUCAAAAUUUCGGGCUUUUCCUCAAGUGCUAUUAGCUUAUCUCUGGAUUGAAUAUCAAUCUUCCUAAAACAAAGUUGAUGGGUAUAAUUGUGAAGAUCAUCAGUUGCAAGUUUGGGCUAAUUGGAUGAGCGGCUGUGAGUUAGAAUUUUCCCGUGUAACUAUUUGGUACUUCCCUUCUUCAACAAUAGGCCCUCGAUAUCUAUCUGGAACCUGCUGUAGAAAGGUUUCAAUAUAAACUAGAUUAUUGGAAAUUUUGGUACCUCUCCCUUGGCGGUCACAUCACCUUACUUAAAGCCACCCUUUCCAACCUCCCGGUUUAUCGUUUAUCUUUAUUCAAAGCUCCUAAUAUCAAAAAACUUGAAUUUAUGAUGAUUUUUUUUUAUGGAGUGCAUCAAUGCACAGGACGAAAUAUCACUUGGGGAAUUGGAUCUAGGUAUGUUUUCCCAAAAGGGAGCAGGGACUUGGAAUUAGGAGACUUAAACCAUAAAUGAAACUUUAUUAACUAAGUGGUGGUGGAGACUAGCUAUGAAUAGGGGAUCUUUGUGUGAGUUGAUUGUUAGAGAAAAGUAUGGUUUUGAGUCUUGACUGUGAGCGGACCACAGUUAAUAGAGCAAGGGCCCAUUUAUGGAAAGGCAUUAAUGCCUGUAGAGCUAUCUUCCUUACCUUUAGCGGUUCUAUUGGGCAAUGGUACUACCACAUGUUUCUGGACUGCUAAGUGGUGAACUGACAUGCCUCUCAAGAUAUGGUUCCGGAACACUACCUAAAGUAGGCAUUUAUUUCGGACAUGGUAAUAGGGAGGGGAUUUAGCACAAUGUGGGAUAUCAGGUUAAGGCAUAGAAGAGUCCAUGAGAGUAUUGAGAAAGCAGUUUACUCUUUUGCUACGCUUGCUCCUCACAUCAGAUAGAGAGGAUAGAAUGGUUUGGGAGUUGAAUCCAAAUGGCAUCUUCUCGGUUACAUCUCUUUAUGCCAGACUUAGUAUAGGCUGUCUCCUUCAGCACAAACCUCAUGCCAACAAAGUCUGGAGCUUUAAAAUCGUACACAGGUUAAAAGCUUUCCCCUGGCUAGUUGUUUGGGACAGACUCUUAUCUCUAGAGCAGCUACAAAGGAGGGGUUUCCUCUCGCCAAACUGCUGCACUCUCUGCAAACAGGACAUGGAAACAAGUCGUCAUCUUUUCUUGCACUAUAAAUUUACUCCUGAGCUUUGGGAAAGGAUCCUGGAAUGUUUUCAAGUUGUUUGGGUUAUUCUUAACAUCAUUACUCAACUAUUUACAGUAUGGGUCUCACCUCCUUUCACGAAAAUAGGCUUUCAACUAUGGAAACUGGAAAUUGCAGUAGUCUGUAUGCAGAUUUGGGGAGAAAGAAAUGCUGGUAUUUUUUUAUAGUAACCAUUGCUCUAAGGAAGUGGUUAAUUUUAAGGCUGAAUCAAUGUGAGAAUCUUGAAUUCAAGCUAAUAUAGAUUAAGGCCCUGAGAAGAUAACUUUAGCAAACUAUGUAUCCUCAUUUGGUACGACAGAAAUCGACCAUAGAGAACGUCAAACUGGGAGCCACUUAAGAUAAGGUGGUAUAAGUUGAAUUUUAAUGGCAGCUCAAAGUGUGACCCUAAAUCUCCUGGCAGUAUUCUCUCAGUAGGUGCAGGUGAUAUACUAAGGGACAAUUCAUGAACCACUAUCAUCUCUUAUUAUAUACCCCUCCAACUGUGGACAACAGUUGAAAUAGAACUACGCGCACUUCAUAUGGGGGGUUUUCCAAGUUGCACCAACCUCACAACAAUAUCAUUAUCGUAGGAGAUUCCUCCAAGUUGCAUGUUUUUUGCAACUCAGACUCCACACCUUCGAGAUGGAGACAUUUGGUGGAUGACAUUCUUUCUGCAUUGACCAAUCCUCUUCUACCAUGUUUUUAGGGAAAUGAAUAGUGGAUGACAUUCUUUCUGCAUAGACCAAUCCUCUUCUACCAUAUUUUUAGGGAGAUGAAUAGUGAAGCAGACUCCCUUGCCAGAGCCAGCUAAGGUUACUUCUCUUUUCAUUUCUCGUCUCUUCUUCUCUAUUCUUCUUCUCCUUAUCUGUUCCCAAUCUCUUCUAGCCCUUCACACCCUCUACUCACCCUUCUCUUUUCUCCCUUUGUCCUUUCACCAUGCUUUUAUUUUUCCUCUGCUUUUGUUUUGUUUUCCUUAUGUAGAAUCAUUCGAUGUACUCUGUUAUUUUUAGAGUGCACCAUGCAUGGACAUGAGAAAAAAUUGAUUUUAAGUUUUGAAAAUAGUGCAUCUUAUAAUGCAAUUUUAAACUGUCAAUUUUCAAGAUUUUCAAGUUUUUUUUAGAUAUGCUCAAUCUACACUAUUUUUCAAACUUGAUAUUUUACAAUUAGAUAUGAAAAUGUAGUUUUAGGUUAUCACAAAGAUUUUCGAUAUUGAAACUACAUUUUUCGACACUAUUUCUUAAUGGAUUGCAACCUCGGCACUAUACAAACGGCACCCAUUUUUUAAUGGAUUUGCAAAAAUACACUACCGUUGAAUUUGGAAGCUCGUGAAUCAAAAAUCAUUUUUACAGUCAAAUAGUAUUGAGUGAUAGGAGCAAAAAAAAUACAUUAUUAAGUUUUGGAAAAAUUACAAAUAACUCUCGAGACUAGACUUUCUAUGCAAGUUACCCCCCCCCCCCUUAAAAUUUUUUUCACCCCACUUAAAAUUAUUUUCUUACUUUUUUUUCCCCCAAAAUAUAUUUUUCUAGCAAAUAACCCCCAAAUAAAUAUAUAUAUAUAUAUUUUUGACGAAAAUACCUUUUUUCGUACACAAAAAUUUAAUUUUGGUCGGACAUUCACAUAGGUUUAUGUGGGUUAUCCGACCGCUCUUUAACAUUGUCGGACCCGUUAAACUAAAAAAAGUGGUGGGCUGCUUUUUGACAUUAUUGGACCGUACUUUGGGCCUAUUGCUGAACUGCGUGGGCCAUUGUUGGACAGCUUUUUGGCCGUGCAAACUGCAUGGGCUUAUUGCUGGACUGUUCUUUGUCAGUCUUGGACCGCCACUGCUAUUUAUUGGACUGACAUUACACUACCACCCGUCUUAAGAAUACACCGGACCGCCUUUUCAUGGGAAAAAGGACAUAGAUGCGUGGGUAAAAGUAAUGGAAGGUAGUUUAGCCUCUUUUUUUUUUUGUUGGGGAAUAUUUGUCAAGAAAGUUUAUUUUGAAGUGUGAAAAGUGAGAAAAAAAAAAUUUAGUUGAAGGUUACUUACAUCGAAACUCUAGUCUUGGAGGUGAGAUUAUUUGUAAUUUUCCCUUAAGUUUCCCUUCCUCAAUUGCCAUAUAUGAUGUGACUGAAAACGGCUUGUGUCAUUCUCUUUAUAGCUUAAACACCUUAUCUAAGGGACCUAAAGGCUCUAGUCGUAUUUGAUUUCUGGAAACCACAUCUUCUAGGAUACCUAAGUAUUACGGUCUUCCACAUAACCAUAUCCACUUUUUAGCCUAAAAUAUAAGAUGAGUGGAUACCAAUGGUUUAAAAAACGGAUCGGUGACUCGGAUCGGGCUUCCAAAAAAUCGGAUCGACGAAUCGGCGAUUCGGAUCGGGAAUCGGGUGAAUCGGUCAGAACAAAGCUUAAAAAAAAUCCUAAAAAAUUAUUAAAAUUCAUUAUAAAUAUUGUUUUUUAGGAAUUCAAUAAGAAAUGAGGGUACUCCAUUAAGAAUUUUCAUGUUUUUGAAUGAAUAUGCGAAUAUUGAUAUGUUCUUUCCCUGCAUGAACCACCAUUCAGCAUUUAAUUUACAUCACACAAAAGGAUAAACAUAUAAUUAUCAUGGAAUAAGUAUAUCAACAUACAUGAACUACAAUAAAGCAUAAAAUUAGUAACAUAUGAUCUAAAAAUAAAAUGAUAGACGACGUUAUUGUUCUUCUUGGUCACACUGGUGCUAUUGAUUGAAUUCGUUUAACAAUUCAUUGAUUCGAUCUAAAAACGAAUCAUCGAUAUUAGCAGGCGUCUGACUAUUCCCAAAUCCCUGAGUGUUAAUGUUUUGUUGUGUUUCCAAUCUAAAAUCCCCGAAGAUUGUCCAUCCUUCAUGCUCACUUGCACUGUCGUGCUCAUCCCUACACUGUUGCUGUUGGGACUCGAUAUGUGAAUAAUAUGGCUGGGAUAGGGUGGCCUCAGAAUCAUCAUCUCUCUCNNNNNNNNNNNNNNNNNNNNNNNNNNNNNNNNNNNNNNNNNNNNNNNNNNNNNNNNNNNNNNNNNNNNNNNNNNNNNNNNNNNNNNNNNNNNNNNNNNNNNNNNNNNNNNNNNNNNNNNNNNNNNNNNNNNNNNNNNNNNNNNNNNNNNNNNNNNNNNNNNNNNNNNNNNNNNNNNNNNNNNNNNNNNNNNNNNNNNNNNNNNNNNNNNNNNNNNNNNNNNNNNNNNNNNNNNNNNNNNNNNNNNNNNNNNNNNNNNNNNNNNNNNNNNNNNNNNNNNNNNNNNNNNNNNNNNNNNNNNNNNNNNNNNNNNNNNNNNNNNNNNNNNNNNNNNNNNNNNNNNNNNNNNNNNNNNNNNNNNNNNNNNNNNNNNNNNNNNNNNNNNNNNNNNNNNNNNNNNNNNNNNNNNNNNNNNNNNNNNNNNNNNNNNNNNNNNNNNNNNNNNNNNNNNNNNNNNNNNNNNNNNNNNNNNNNNNNNNNNNNNNNNNNNNNNNNNNNNNNNNNNNNNNNNNNNNNNNNNNNNNNNNNNNNNNNNNNNNNNNNNNNNNNNNNNNNNNNNNNNNNNNNNNNNNNNNNNNNNNNNNNNNNNNNNNNNNNNNNNNNNNNNNNNNNNNNNNNNNNNNNNNNNNNNNNNNNNNNNNNNNNNNNNNNNNNNNNNNNNNNNNNNNNNNNNNNNNNNNNNNNNNNNNNNNNNNNNNNNNNNNNNNNNNNAAAACAUUCGAUCAUGGAUUACAAAAAAUUCUAUCAUGGGUUAAAAAAAAAAAACAAAAAAACAAAAAAUUCGAUCACGGAUUACAAGAAAAAAAAACAAACAUUUCGAUCAUGGAUUACAAAAAAUUCGAUCAUGGAUUACAAUAAAUUCUAUCAUGGGUUACAAAAAAACAAAAAAUUCGAUCAUGGAUUACAAAAAUACAAAAACAAUUCGAUCAUGGAUUACAAAAAAUUCGAUCAAGUAUUACAAAAAAAUCUAUCAUGGAUUAUCAAAAAAAAAAAAAAAAAAUUCCGUACGGGACUCGCCGAUUCAUUGUUCGGACUCGCCGAUUCCGUACAGUGAAUCUGCGAUUCACUGUACAGAAUCGUCCGGUUCUCUUUAGAACCGGACGAUUUUCGAUUUUUUAACCGAUACGAUCUACUUUUUGCGUUUUCCGAGUCGAACCGGGCGAGUCCGGUUCGACUCGGCGUUUUUUAAAACGCCGGUGGAUACCAUGAUAUCCAUUUUGCUAUAAAACUUCUUUAUUAUCAAAACAGAAAAGUGCUAUAGGGCUGGAAGAAGGGUUUUCAAAAAUCAAAUUUGCAUCUUCUAGAAAUCAAACACGCCCUUAGCCUCCUAGAAAUCAAACACGCCCUUAGCCUCUUAUAACAAGGAUUCUAUUGUGAAGUCCAGCAUGCUUAGACCAAAUUUGUGACUUGUUUGUGAGAGAGAGCAACAAAUUGAAAGAUCAGCCCCAUAGGAGCGAGAAAUUUAAACAGACAAUUGUCUGUAUAAAUCAUUGCAAAUAUACACUUCCCUUGAAUUUCGUAGCAACGAGAAGUCAUUUUUAUAGUCAAAUAGUACUGAGUGAUAGUCAUGGAAAAAAAAUAUUAUUAAGUCCAGCAUGCUUAGACCAAAUUUGUGACUUGUUUGUGAGAGAGAGCAACAAAUUGAAAGAACAGCUCCAUAGGAGCGAGAAAUUUAAACAGACAAUUGUCUGUAUAAAUCAUUGCAAAUAUACACUUCCCUUGAAUUUCGUAGCAACGAGAAGUCAUUUUUAUAGUCAAAUAGCACUGAGUGAUAGUAAUGGAAAAAAAAUAUUAUUAAGAUUUCCCUUCCUCAAAUCCCAUAUGAUAUGAUGUGAUGUGACUGAACACGGCCUUCAGUUCUCCUGUUUAUGACUUUAACACCUUGUCUCACGAGCAUAAGGGGCGUUUGAUAUCUGGAAACUACAUCUUUCUAAAUACCCCAAGUUUUACGGUCUUCCACACCGAACUUGGGGUAUCCACUUUUUAGCUUUGAAUAUAUUUUAUUAUAAAACUUCCCUAUUAUCAAAUAGAAAAGUGGAAGAGGCAUCGAUUUUCAAAAUUCAAAUCCGCAUCUUUUAAAAAUCAAACACGCCUUUAGUAUCGGAUAAAAUAAAUUGUAUCAUGAAGUCCGACAUCCUUAAUAGAGAGAGAGAAAGAGAGAGAGAGAGAGAGCACGAAAUUGAAAGAUCAGGCCCAUAAGCAACACACAGUGGAUCCAUGGUUUAUAACCUCAUUUAUUAUUUAUUUAGUAGCCGGAUCUCAGGACCUCACAUCUAAAAUCAUAACCAGAAAAUGAGAUGCGACCUCUUUAACUAUAAUUUCUCUCUCUAUGCAGCAUUGACUUGGACCUUCAUUCCACUUUGGCAGUGGCCGGGAAUGCUGCAAAGGAAGAAAUUGGCACCCCUUCUGAGAGUGAUGCGAUCGCUGCCGGAACGGUAAGUCCUAGAGCCACGAGGAACGAGGCAGCUUUUGUAGCCUGCAGCGUUCACUGCAACCACGUUGUGAGCGCUAUUGUCAUACUGGAAAACUGCCAUGAGAGCACACAAGUUCGCAUUAGUCUUAGAGAGAGAGAGAGAGAGAGAGAGAGAGAGAGAGGANNNNNNNNNNNNNNNNNNNNNNNNNNNNNNNNNNNNNNNNNNNNNNNNNNNNNNNNNNNNNNNNNNNNNNNNNNNNNNNNNNNNNNNNNNNNNNNNNNNNNNNNNNNNNNNNNNNNNNNNNNNNNNNNNNNNNNNNNNNNNNNNNNNNNNNNNNNNNNNNNNNNNNNNNNNNNNNNNNNNNNNNNNNNNNNNNNNNNNNNNNNNNNNNNNNNNNNNNNNNNNNNNNNNNNNNNNNNNNNNNNNNNNNNNNNNNNNNNNNNNNNNNNNNNNNNNNNNNNNNNNNNNNNNNNNNNNNNNNNNNNNNNNNNNNNNNNNNNNNNNNNNNNNNNNNNNNNNNNNNNNNNNNNNNNNNNNNNNNNNNNNNNNNNNNNNNNNNNNNNNNNNNNNNNNNNNNNNNNNNNNNNNNNNNNNNNNNNNNNNNNNNNNNNNNNNNNNNNNNNNNNNNNNNNNNNNNNNNNNNNNNNNNNNNNNNNNNNNNNNNNNNNNNNNNNNNNNNNNNNNNNNNNNNNNNNNNNNNNAGAGAGAGAGAGAGAGAGAGAGAGAGAGAGAGAGAGGGGCAGAGGAAAUCAGAAAUCAGAUACCAAGAACAUCUCCUGCCCUGAAGCGCUUGCCGGCAGGCCAGCUAACCAUGUUGAAGGUCCAGCCACG
rnacentral:lncRNA from 1 species